rnacentral:lncRNA from 1 species
UAAGGCCCUUUGAUUGGCUGAGAGGAUUGUGACUCGCGUGAGACGCAUAUAGUUGGGAAACGAGAGAAUUGUGGUUGCAGUUCCAACUCCCAUUUUUUUCCAAUUUUUUCCAUUUUUUUCCAAUUUCUCAAAAGCAUACAAAGACUAAUCCUUAUACCAUUUCCUCUUUUUUUAACCUCCUUUUAUUCCUCUCCCUCUUGUUUGAUACAAAAACAAAGAACCGCGAAGUUUCAGAGACUUUGGAUUUUCGGAUUUGUCCCCUUCUAUUGAAAUUGUAUAGAAGGGGGACCUUCAUGAAUCCUUCAAAUUUCAUGCUUAUAUAAAAAAGCUCGAACCUUUUCGUUUUCUGCAACAAGGAGCCUUCUGGGUUUUGGUUCUCGAGGAGGAAGAAGUCUCUGUUUAGAUGUUGAAAGUUGGAGAAAAUGAUAAGACUAUGGAGGGCCCUGCAUUUUCGAAGCUUUUUGUGAGCAGCCUGUCACUUGCUGUACGGUUUACAUCUUCAGCACCGCCUGCCGCGAUCUGUCGCGGCGCGAGCAAUUGCAAUCGAAGGACUGAGCAUUGAGGUAAGGAUGGUGGCCAGAGAGACCGCCGCAAUGGCCGCUCCACCUAUUUUGGUCCAUGGAAUUUUUUGCAGGGUAGUGGAUUAAGUAUUUUUGUGGAAGUAUAAUGGGUUUAUUCUGUUUUUGCAAAUGGAGACAUUUCUGGCGAGAAGAGAUAAUCGAAUUUGUUCAUCUUUGUAACUGGUUCCGAUAUCGGUUUUGCAGAAGUUAGGGAAUGUAUAAAUCGUAUUCGCAUAGGGUGCGGUAGAACAAGUUAUGGAUGUUUUGGUUUAGGUUGAUGUUUCUCAACGAAGGCGGCGAGUGAUUACUGGACCUCAAAUUGUUUCACUUUUCGUCGAGUUACGAAUAAGGACGCGAAUCUCAUGUUCAUUUGAUUGUAAUUUUUAAUAAUUUCGGAAAUAAUAGGCCUCAUAGGCUCAUAGCGAGUCUCUGAUUGCUAAUUUGUGAUUGGUUUGAUUGCAGCGGCACUCCCUGAAUGGGAUGAGGAUCACCUCUUCACUUUUCGGCAUUUCUGCCGGAGCACAGGUGCCGUGUGCUGCAGCAAAUGCUUGCUGAUAAGGUUAGUCCAAUUAGCAUCCUAAAAUUAAUGCUAUAGUCAAGAAUAUGAAUUGGUUUUAGACUAGUUUUUCUUCCGAGUGAGAGAUACUUGGGUAGGGAGGGCAGCUCUCACACACGCUAAGACCAAUAGUGGUCAAGCAGGAUCAAAGUACAGACGGUCUCAUGCUUUUGUGAGAGGUAUACCCUGUGGAUGACGUGGUCAGGCACCCCUACUCAAAUUUUUCGUCACAAUGCUUUCUUAGUGAACAUUCCUUAAACAACAUCCAAUCUCUUUACCUUUGCCAAGGAAAAAUCAUUUUUUACUUUGACGAAAUUUUAUUUUUGUUGAUUGAAACGUUUGAGUUUGUAUUCAGCGUCAGGGUUUGAGAACACAAAUGAGAAUUGGGUAUUGAGCAUAUCAUCAUUGUCAGGAGCAUUCAAUGGAACAACAAGAACCUACUUGGAUGGAAUGCAGUGAGUUUCCAUUUCAUCAUCUUAUUCUUUUGUCUAUAAACUCUGUGUGACGAAUGCAAAUACGUAUGCACAUACUUAUGCAAUACGAUGAUUGGCUGCCUAAAAGAGCAAAGCAAUAGAAAGAAUCGUCUUUUGUGACCUCAGGAUAUUUGUCUCCCUUUGUUUUAUAUUUAUAAUAACCCAUAAUUUCAUAUGCAAAACAAAAGGUAAAAACAGAACGACCAGAAAAUUUGUUAAUAAUAAUCUUGAAUCUAUGCUAAAUACUAACUCGCAAUGGUAACAUGGAAUUUAGAUAUUUCGCAGUUAUGCCCUGAGUGAAUAUUUCGUUGGUUUACAACCGAGAAAUUCUUAACAAAAUGUUUGGUCCAUUCAUGAAUGAAGAAAUGGGCUUAGGGGUCUGUUUAUUGCCUCUUGGGAACCAGGCCAUUCGCUUCUACUGAUUGAUACUAAGCCUAGUCACACUUUCAAGGCUGUUGAUUGCCUCCAACCAGCGCAUCUACAUUCCUUUCCCCAACACAUACUUCAUAGGCUCUGCCUACUCAACACCAUCUCCAUUCCUUUCCCAACACAGGUUUGGUGUCACAUCUAAGCGAACGAGGAAGGUGUUGGGUGUCACAGUUCCAUCAAGCAUAUGCGGAAUUCAUCCAUUGCUUUUCAUUAGAGUAUUGCAAAUGAGCCAAUGGCGCCACCCUCCGGAUGUCCCUCCCCCAUACAAAGGCUAUAGGUGUGUUCUUAAGCACAUGUUAAAAGUAAUUGAAUACUCGAAUUCAAUUGCAUUGUCGUGACUCAAUCCUUGUGUGAAUAAUUCGUGUGCAGGGAUGAGGAUUGGCAGGACAAUGAUGGAGCUUUGAAUACCAUCUCCAUGACUCGCCCUCUUCUCCCCGUUGAACAUCCCAGUCGGUUUGUAAAAGAUGAUUCAGAUUGUCAUCCUUUGCAACCUGGCAUCUGGUUAGUACAAACACUUCUCGAUUGACCAUCACUACGUAUUCUUCAUUGUUUGUCAUUGAACAAAACAAUAAAUGUGGAACUUGAUUACAAUGCAGGUACUAUAAGAUUGUGGAAGCUGAUCACAUAUUCUUCAUUAUUAAUCGGGAGAGAGCCGGAGUUCAGUUUGAUCUGAUAUACGACAGCAUUUUCGAACGCUGCAGAAAGCAUGUGUUUAGAAAAACUCCGCAGACUUUACCGAACGAAACACACCAUUAGUUCAGCAUUCCAUUGCUCUCACGCAAUAUACUACAGAAUUAGAAUCUAAAAUCAAAAACAAAGAAAGCUAUUCAUUAGCACCAGCAGUAGCCUUUGUUCCCCUUCCCUGACCUCAUGUAUAUGUUUAUUUCUUCUUCCUUCGAUUUUUCGAAUUUUUUCACUCACCCUCCGACUGCUGGUACAAUUUGAAUAGCCUUGUUGUAGUGUGGUGAGAGAUAUUUAUAGGGUUUAGCUUUGUACAUCAGACCUCUUUGGUCUUUCCAGAGUUGAUGUAUUUGGGAAACAGAGUAUAUAAUUUAAGUUAUACACCCAAAAUUCGAUUGCUACAUUAGAUCCUUCCUCUUUCCCUUACUCCAACAAAUCUGGAUCAUACGUGCAUUGCUUGCUUGGACAAAUUAAACUUGGGCUGAACUAGACCUACGACACCUUCUAGGCCCAUACAUCUUUAUGCUCCGUUUUGUAAAGGCCCAAAUCCGUUUUGUUUCUCAAGAAUAUCCAAAUAAAGAGACAAGUGAGAUAUAAAUAGAUUUUAUGAUUAAUUACACACUUAUAAAUAUGUAAAAGUUAGAGAGAUAACCUUUACUAAUGACAGGAGCGAAACAUGUGUAAAAUAUCAUACUGAAACUAUAGCACUAGGGGAUGACAAAUAAAAGAGGGAGGAAUAGAUGAUGUUAUCGAUCUUUCUAUCUUUCUGUAUAUUGAAAGUAUACGGAGCGCUCUAUUUAUAGAGCAACUCCAAACUAAUGCAUUAACUGCACAUUGAAGUUUACAGCACUUCCUUUGACAAUACAAUCUUCAUGCAUUUCCAAAUUCAAUUUCACUUUGCAUGGGCAUUGAAAAUGUGUGUGUGUGGGCAUUCAUAUCAUAACAAUGCCAACGUUUUCAACACACACUGCAUUUUGUGGUUUACGACAUGUAACAGUUAAGUCCACAUCUUUUAUAAAUAGGAAAAAAUCAUCUUUAAAAUUACAAAUCCUUACACCAUUGUUACUUUUAACCAUGCAUUUGAUCGUCCGCCUCUUAAUGAGAAUUAGGCUACAAUACUUUUACAAUAUUGUAAUGUGAUACCCAAGAUAAUUGGAUUUAUUAAAAAGUGUUCUACCACAACAACAAUAAGUAAUCGUUUGAAAGUGCUUUCAAAAUAAUUGGUGCUUUUUCUAGGAAACAUUAGUUCAAGUGCUGUUUUAGGAUUCACUUGUGUUUUUACAAAUGAUUGAUUCCAAAAACAUUUUCACCAAAAGUUUUUUCUAUCAUUUUGAAAGCAAUUCCAAACGAGCCCUAAGAUGAUGGAAAGCCUCGAAAUCCUUAUAUAUUUGUCAAUUAUGUAUUAAUACUGCAUUAACGAAAUCAUGCAGUUAAUUAGCAAGGAUUAAACGUAGGCUCGCUCUUAGUAAGUAAAAUCAGCACAUGCAUGAGCAUCAUCAUCAUCAUCAUCAAUGGUGGCACAUGGGAAUAUGCAUGUUUUUGUUGAUGCAACGCAAUGCAUGUGUCGGGACCAAAACUCAUUUCUUAAACCUCCACUCCAUAAUUGUAAAGCAUAAAACCAAAGUUAACUAAUUAAUUAACAGUUAUAAUAUAGUGUUCAAACCAAAAGAACAACACAGUUCAGAAUUAAACUAUUAUUUGGUCGACUAAACUACACAUCUUGAACAAUGUUUGACCCCAAUGAAAGAGAGGAAUCUAAAAAUACUAAUAAUUUAUGUGGCUUCAGUUGUGAUCCUUAAGUCAAAAUCUGACUAGAAAGCAUUGAUUUGAAGUCAAGAAUCGAAGUCGAUCGGCCGACCGAAUAAACAACUGAUGCAUUAAUUUGUUUUGUGUUAUUGUGUAAACUAAACGUGUUAGAGCAUUUUAAUGCGGAUAUGUAAAUUUGAGAUGUAAAAAUCACAUUUACAUCUCAUUUUAUAUUUUCGAUAGAUGUAAAUGAGAGUUCUACUUUAUAAAAAGGAAGCAAAUUUGAGAUUCCAUUUAUAUUUCUCUCUUUGAUUUGCGAGACCCGUUAUCAGAAGAUGUAAAAAAAGGUGUAAACUUAAGUUUUUAUUUACAAUACUUGUCAGCCAAAAUGGAUAUUUUACAUCUCUCUAAUUAGAGAGUUUUCCGACUACCAAAAAUUAUAAAAUACAUAUUUUAAGGCAUUUUGCAUCUCUCAAAGAAAAUGCGCUAAGAUACCUUUUUUUUCACUUUCUAAAUAGAUCAAAUGAUUGAUUUUGAAAAAUUGCGACUACUAGAUACUUCGAGUAAACAUGUUUGACUUCUAAUCGAGCGACUGUAUCAAGUGGGAAACUGGCUCGAUUUAAGCCUUUACUAUGCCUUUAGUUUUAAAAGGACUUCAACAAUUUUCCUAUUCAAAGGAAUUAAUUCACGAUCAACAAAGACACUAGAAUUGCUUUGUCAUUUAAAACAAUCGAAAUAGCUAAGGACCACUUCAAUGAAUAUUCCUUUUAUUUAUUUGUUUUAAAAACCUAGCUGCAAAAUGUUGUCACUGUACAUAGUUGUUGUCUUUUAGCCCACGCACACAGUAAGCGCAAGAUUUUCAUUUAAUUUUCACCUUCGAUUUAGGAUUGAAGCUGAAAGCAUGAAAGAUGUCGGAUUGUGUCGCGAUCAGAUUGAGUUAGUUCAACACUAUGCGUACAGCUGGUAUCCUUUUUAUUUUGUUUAUGUUUAAUCAUUUCCAAAGAAUUGUCUUAGAGUUUGGUUUUGAUUUUCCUCUUUAGAGGAGUUUGCUAAUUUGAUUGCCCUCUAUAGAAGAGUUACUUCAUUUCAAUUUUUGUUUGGAUAUACUACGUCUCUUUUGGAUCUAUGUAUGAAGGUGAAGCUAUUUAAUUUGUUGGAUCUACUUCACUUUAGUUCUAAGAUCGUGGAGGUGAUAAGGUAUCGUACUUCCUACCAAUAUAUAAUUUGAGAUUUUUUGUUUUCACAUGAUUUUUUUCUUAACAUGAUAUAUAAUAAGUUUAGGGUUCAAGUGGCAUGAACCCCUAUACAUGUUACAAGGUUUUAGUUUUGAAAUUUCUAUACCAGCCUUGUUAAUAUAUGGAUCAUCUACUAUAAUUUACCAAUUUUUCUGGAAACGAUCUGUAACAAUUAGACUUGUUUAAAAUUUAAAUACAUUUGUUUAUACUGGCAUCUAUCUGCACAUGUACAUAUAUUUAGUGAAUAAUCGUGAUCAUUAACGUCAAUUUCACAAAAUAUAAAAUUUAAAUUUAAAUAUUACCGUGAGUUAAAAAAAUAUCAAGUUAAUAAGUUUUCACCGUUUGGUGUGGUUGGUACCUGAACGUUAUAACGGGAAACUUAAAAUAUAAGAUGGACGCAUAAAAAAAUUCCUCCAAAAUUGGAAAGUAAUUAACAUUUAGUAAUACGGUCUACUGGUCUUUCUGUUCACUUGUUUGUAAGUAAAAGGUCUUAGAUUUGAUUCUCUCCAAAAACGAAUUUGAACCACACUAUUGUUAGCUUAUUGUGGGGUAAACUUACCCCCUCGCUAGUGUAGAUAAUAUCGUUUGUUAUUGCUAAAAAAAAAUAAAAUCGUUUAUUCGAAAAACAAAAUUGGAAAGUAAUUCGCUCAGAAAAUCUUACCCUCUAACAGAUCACUGUUUAAUUACGGUCAUUGCUGUUGAGAGUUCUUUCCUAUUUAUUGGGAGGUUCUUAUAUUUUCCAUGUUAAAAGGGGACGGAGCAUGCUUGGUAUGGUCAGUUUUUUUAUUUUUUUUAUAUUUUUUUUAACGAAAUAGAAGGAAAAAAGAAAAAAAAAGAAAGAAAUAGGAAUUAGGGUUCAUGCACCUCGGUGUCCCUGAAUGUAGACACCCUCUCCAUAUUUUGUUCUAUAAAUAGGGACAUAAACACAGACGAGGAGACCCAACUUUGAGACUUGAGAGAGAGAGAAUAGAGCCACAUCAAAAACUCAAGACAAAUUAAUAGCUGUGUUUUGUUAGAGCAACAGAGACAAUGUGCGGCACCACGGAGAACCCUACUUCCAAUAGCAAAACCUCCUCUGUGUCCCCGGCCAAUGGUAACGGCGGCACGAUACCGCCAUCCGACCAUGUCCUCAACCUCGAACAGUAAGUGCUCUCUUUAGCUUCGUUAUUUGGAGUAGAGAGGAUGUAACAUUUUGUUAUUUAGUGUCGUUUAAUGGCCGCGAAUCUUUCCAACAACUGAUCGUUUUGGUUAGUUUACUAAUUAGGUUAACAUGCAAUCGACAUUAAUGGUGUUUCCGGUUUUGAUGAUGACAGGGGCGACCCGGCAGUGUACGAAUCCUAUUGGAGGAAGAUGGGGGACAAAUGUACGAUGGUGAUCUCCGGAAGCGAAUUGAUGAGCUAUAUCAGCGACUUCACCAGCGUGUGCUGGUUUUUGGAGCCAGCAUUGGAGGCGGCGGUCAGAAGACUUCAUCGUACGGUUGGAAACGCCGUCGUAGACGGUGAUCGGCAUAUCGUGGUGGGGACAGGCUCGACUCAGCUGUAUCAGGCUGCCCUGUAUGCUCUCACUUCUCCUGGCGGGCCCGAGCCCGUCAGCGUUGUGUCUGCCGCCCCUUACUACUCGGUGAGGGUUCUCUACUCGUUGACAUUUGGCAAAGUUUCCCUGAUGAAAUUACGGCCGUUGAUUUUCUGUAUUUUGUUGAUCACCUGUGGAUCUUGAUUUUGGCUUUGUUAAUUAGUGAAGUCAACUCCAAAGGAUCAACAGAUUGCUGCUUCAGCGGUUGACAAUCAAUUUGGAUUACUCAGUUUAUAUUAAUUGUUUUACUUCAUAAUAUAUAUAUAUAUAUAUAUAACUUCAAACAGUUGUAUAUUAGAUAAUUUAGACUCGGUAAUUUAAACAUAACAUAUCAAAUUGUUUAACGGAUCAAUAAAACUUAAGUACAGAUAUUUAUGUCAUAGUUUUCCUUUGGCAUGCUGCGAAUGUAGUAGUAUUCGAUCUGCACUCUGCGGAAGGUGUUUUGAGUUGUGAGGGGUGAAAUUACGAGACGACUGUCGCGGAACAUGCUGAUGUUUUGCAUGGGAAAUGCGACAAAGAGGCAAAUAUGUCUUUUUGAAACAUAAUCAUGUUUGGGAACAUGCAACAAACAUAUGCACGUAGUCCUGUGUUUUGAAACCCUUGGAAAAUUAAACAUAGUAACAUGGCCAUGUCUUGUUUGUUACUAACCAGGUUACUUCCAGCCAACCUUACUUUUGGAUUCUCUACGCUCUAAUUAAUUACUUGUUUUCCUUCUAUUAAACUCCAUAUAACUUCGAUUUUUACUUAAAUUUUCAGGUCGUUAUUAACUAAGUUGUGUCAAAUAUUUACUUAAUGUUUGCAGUCAUAUCCGGAUGAAACAGACUAUAUUCGUUCUGCAUUGUAUAAAUGGGCAGGCGAUGCAUAUACCUUUAACAAAACUGGACAUGGACCUUACAUUGAAGUGGUCAACACCCCAAACAACCCCGACGGCACUAUCCGAGAGGCCAUCGUGAAGAACAGGGGUGAUCAAGGGAAGCUCAUUCAUGACCUGGCCUACUAUUGGCCUCAGUACACUCCAAUUACUUGUCCGGCCGAUCAUGACAUCAUGUACUUUACAUUCUCCAAAAGCACCGGACAUGCCGGUUCUCGCAUUGGGUGAGUCCAUGUAUAAUAAAUCAUAACGAGAAUUGUUAUUGACACUUGAAAAAAAGUUACUUUAUUCAUUUCGGCCUUGUAUUUUAUCAGAUGGGCCAUUGUGAAGGACAAAGAGGUUGCCAGAAAGAUGUCAAAGUUUGUAGAGCUAAGCUCACUUGGUGUGUCCAAGGAUUCCCAGCAACGAGCUGCUAAGAUAAUGGGAGUGAUCUGCGACGACUAUGAAAACUGCAAGUCCACUGACAACUCUGAGCUCUUCUUCGACCAUUGCCGUCGAAUCAUGGCGGACAGAUGGGAGAGGUUAAGAAAAGUGGUCGAGCAAAGUGUAAUUUUCAGCCUACCCAACUACCCCCAAAAGUACUGCAUCUUCUCUGGAGAGUCCACUGAACCAUAUCCAGGUAAAAUCAUAAUUUUUACUCUCUUUUUAUAUCUAAGUAACUAACUAAACACAUAAAAUGGGUAUUGAAAUCAUUCUGAUUCUUAAUUUCGUGUGUUUAAUGAAAUUUGGAUAGUGGCAUUAUUCCAAUUCCUGACGUCCCAUGUGUUUAUCAUCACAUAAUAAAACAAAGCGUGAGUUAGGUUCCACUUAAAGUUCGUGAUCCAAUACUUGAAAAAACAGAAAUCGCAUCAACUAAGGAGGCUAGUUAAUCUCAUACCUAUUCAUUCUUUCUGUUUCUCCGAUUCAAGACUUCCCCAUCGAUGAAAUUAUGAUAUUUAUUAAAUUGGCUCUUCUAAUGUUGGGAAUGCUUUUGUACAAUGCGCAGCAUUUGCAUGGAUGGAGGCCAAUGAGGAUGUAGACACAGAGAAGGUUCUGAGAGGACAGAUUAAGGUGCAAGGAAGAACAGGGAGGCGCUUUGGCGUUGAUCAGAGGUACGUCAGGAUUAGCAUGCUGAGCGGGGAAGACGUGUUUAACAAGUUCUUGGAGAGAUUAUCAACUAUCAAAUCCGUUACUAAUGGUCAUUAAUUAGUUUAAUCUAGUACUCAAUCACAGACCAUCGCAGAGUUAUUAUUUUCUAUUUGUAAUUCGGUUUCUUUGGUAUAAUCUGAAAUGCGGCGAAAACAAGUCUUGUUUGUAUAAGAGCAACGUACCAGAGCCUUGUUUGUAUAAGAGCAAUGUACCACAGCAAAACAGAUGAAACUGGGCGAGGCUCGAUCAAAAUAAAAGGAACUUUAACGAAAAACUCUCGGUACUAUUCACUUUAACGAAAAACCACAUUUUUACACUAAAAAGUCAAUCCUGGUAUUAUUUACUUUACUCUUUAUUUUGUCGUUAAAAUUCAGUUUUCAAACCCUUUUAUUUUGGCCUUAUCGUUAAAACUUCAAAAUUUGAUACUUAAAACCUAGGCAACCACGUCAGUAAAUGAAAUCAAAAUUAAAUAGAAGUGAGGUUUUUCCAAGACCGAUCCAAGUACACGGCAACGCGUAGGAAACGAGCCUCUGUUUCAAUACGAAUCUCAAUUGAGGAGAGAAAAGAUAAGAAAAAAAUAUGUACUAAUUCGGACAGGUCCCCAAACAAACAAAAAUUGAAUAGGAAAAAUGACAGCCAGACAGAAUCCAAAACCAAAAUAACAAAAUCUUAUUUCAACGUACUGAAUAAAUCUACCUUCCGGUAACGAUAAACAUACAACAUUGUUGGAUAAACCUUCAUUGUACAUGCACAAAAGCAAAGGCCAGAUAAUUCAUUCUCAACAAACUGCGAUCACUACUGAUCGCAGGCAACGGGCAAUCAAAGCCGGUCUAUCUAUCCAUCAGUUUUGGGUUUGAACCAUUCAGGAUCGUACGUGAAUGCUGCACCCCAGAAGACACCGUGCAGGGGCAACUUUAUACUAGUCUUAAUUCAUACUCGCCGGCCAUGGUUAUGUAUCUCACCCAUGGAAGAGCUUGGUAUCCGCUUUUUUCAAUAAUCUUGAGGUAACGAACCUACAAAACCCGAAUUUGCUUAUAAGAAAACCGCACACAACAAAUUCCUAGCUCUAUGAUGGCUUAUUUAACAUGUUGACAUCUGGAAUACAAAUUCUAUAGUUGCUCUGGGAUAUCAUCAUAUCAGGCCCUAAAACCAUUUCACCAUUGUUUGAAUAUUAGACAAGCCAUUCAAAUAACUGUUAACAAGUUUAUGGUAGAAAGAGAUCGGAAUGUCCCCAAAAUAGAGCAAAGCAAUCAAUCCAUAAAGGAAUACCUGUAUUCCAGAAACAGUAAAAUAUGGUAUCUCGAACUUCACACGUAUAGGAGCUUUUCUCUCAGGAGUUGAUUCUUCAGCCGUUACACUUGGAAGGCGAAACUCUGCUCUCAACAUGUAUUCCUAGGCAAUUUGGAUUACAAACAAGAUCAAUAAAAGGGGCUAAAGUGCACGGCACAAGAUACAACAAGAUAGUCUUCUUAGACUAGCAAUAAGACGAGUCCACACCUUGCCUCCAGGAAAAGAUCUUAUUUUCCAGAUAAGCGCAUCACUUUCAGGUGCAUAUGCUGCAGAUCCUAAUGAUGUCCGAACAUCUGGAUUAGUUGCAUCAGAUACCACAGGCACCUCAAUCUCAACAUUUGUAGCAGUGCUGUGCAGUUAAAUUUUCAUGAGUACUAAGGGAAUAAACAUUUGGGUGCCCAAAGCACAAAGCAAUUGACCAAAUAACUUUUUCAAUACCUACGCUCCUUGAACUGACUUCUAGCUUUUACCAGAAUCUCAAUGCGACUUUUUGAAUGCCUUUCAAUUUGACAUUCAACCCAAAUUAAAGGCUUAACCUGAAAGGGAAAAUGACAACAAUUAAUUGGAAUGAUGUAAGCAGUAAAUAAACCUCCCCUCACCACUAAAUGCGUCCGCAGACACAAAGAAAAUAAAACAGAAUCAGCAGAGCAUGAGGGAUACCUGUGUACUCAGCCUAUAUGUCAUGAGAUCAAAAGCUCCAUCAGGUGGUACAAAGGAUAUUGUCCGGUCAUUUUCAAACCGAGCCAAACGGACACACCUAAAACAAAUUUUAUGAUUUAAUGUAAGGACUUGCAGGAAGAUUAGUUUAUGUAAAAUCUCAAACACUUGUACGACACAAAUGCAGCACUCAGAUAAAUCAAGGAAAGCUACAUACUGAUGAAAUUUGAUGUCUUCCAAAUCAAUGGCUUUUCCUUUUGUUGCUCGGCCUUGUGCCUCCAAUAACACUCUAUCAUUUAAGCCCAGCUUACACUCGGGCAUACCACUGCAAGCAAAAUGAGUAAGCACUAGUUGCCAGAUGGUAUCAGCAUAUAAAACAGAUCACUCUAGAUCACUCUUAAGAUGUAAAUAGAAAUUAAGUCCCUCUUGUGUUCUUCAGAGAAUUUCCCCAAACCCUAGUUUUAUCUUUCUGUGAACUGGUUUAUGACUUCAAUCAAGUUAGUGUCCUCCACGAAACAGAGUACUCAACAAGAGAAAUUGAAACUACGAUUUAUACCAUUGUCCUCAUAAACAUGGUUUCUUUAUACGAAUGAAUUAUAACUCUAGCAUAAACCAAACAACAAGCUAGCAAAUCUUAAACGGACUUCACUUGGUAUUUGGAAAGCAUAUUCAGUGAAAAAGGCACAAGUUAGAAUGCUAAAGCACAGAUAUAAAUUUAACUGGGUUAGGACGGAAAAACACCUCAAAUAAGUUCUCAUCUUCAAUGCACCAACAACAUCCGACCUAAUGAUUUGUCCAUUGCUGUUAACAAGUAUAUUAACACUCUCCACCACAUCCAGGAAAACCUUGAAAAAAAAAAAAGAAAGGCAAGUCAUCCACUGGUUGUGGCAUCAAAACCAGCGGCAUCAAAGAAGAAUAAGAAGUCUUCAUUUUUCCUAAUGCACGUACCUCAUUCUUCUUGUAACGUAUCCCUUCACUUCGCCAAGACACUGCAUUUGUUACAGCCAUGGGAGGUCUCUGUGUAACUUCCAUCCUGUAAGCAUCAGUCUUGAUAAAUUCACUGAGAAUCUUGGCCUCAGUAUACUGAGGGUAACCAAAGUCCAUCAUUUCAUCCAGCAACUCAUACUUCAAACAAAGGACAAAAAAAUAACAUCAAAUCGCAAUGUUUCACGACCAAAAUUAAGCAAAAUGAAUGGCACAAACAUCUCCUUACCACAACCACAAAGUUAUCCCUGAGCGAUUCCUCUUCUAACUCUUCAAAGUAAUGCUUGAACACCUGCCGUCCAAUAAUCAAUUUACUAAUUACGCAAUUCAUAGGUGCAUAAACAAACAACGACGAAUGAGGAACGAAACUUAUCAUAAUUACCAAUAGAGCUUACAUCGACUAUGCGGUGUAGAAAGAAAAGAAGACUAGCGGCAUUGCAGUUCUGCCGGGACGCAGCCAUCAAGUAAACAUUGUUAUGCUGUAUAAACAAGUAGCUCACGCCAUUAUCAUGAACAACUGGAUCAUGAGACUCCGGAUCAACCUGAACCGCAUCGCAACAAGCACGAAAAGAAAAAAAAAUGCCAGUAUCAAUUUCUACUCUAACAUAACAGAUGAAAUCCAAAUUGGCCUCACUAAUUUCGGAAUCAACUGAUAAAAAAAAGGGAAUAAUUUAUCAAUAAACGACAAUUUGGUUUCGUUUUCUCAGCAACCAAUCAGUUCCUCAAACAACUAAGAAACAUAAAGUGCAUAAUCCGGGGAAAAUUGAGUAAAUUUGGGUAAGAAGAAGCUUUAUUGGACCUCUUUCUCGAUGAGCUUAGUGAAGAAGCGCUCAGCUUGAGCGGCGGAGACGUCGCCGCGGUAGUCGCGCCAGAUGAGAACGCGGCCUUUGAUGUCUAGGAGGAACAGCGCCGAGACUGCCCCUGCCAUGAGAUCUGAUCGGCGGUUGCAGCAACUGGAUGCGAUCUGAUUCGGAUAUAGCAGCGGAGUCGAUUGGCGUAGUAAUAGAUCUCAAUCUGAAUCUUGAGGCUUUAGGAUUUAGGCGUUAGGGUUCCGUUCGCCGUCUGCUACUACGGUUGGAACAUCAACCGCCAUCUUCAAUCUCUCUCAGAGUCUGAAGAAGAGGAAGGAGUCUUGAGUUUUGGAAAUGGAGGUGUUCGCGGUGAAUAUUUUGCUUUUUCCGGACGUUAGAGACCCGCGUCUCUCUCUUCUCUACGACGCCGUUUCAUGUUAAACUCCAAGGUAAUGUACAAUUCAAUUACCAUUCAGGAUUUCCCUUUCUAAUAUUAAUUUGGAAAUUGAUGUUUUACAUACAAACAACCAUCCUUUUUCAUAUGUUUAUAAUGUCUUGUUGUAUUUUAGAAUAUAGGCUCGUUUAGAAGUGUAUUUAAAAUGGCUAAAAGCGUUUAUGGUGAAAAUAUUUUUGGGAUUAAUGCUUAGAAAAAAUGCAAUAUGAAAAAGUACUUAAAGUGCUUUCUAUAAGAAGAAGCAUUUCAAGUGUUUUUUUUUUUUACUUUUCCACCUUAUAUGCCAAAUAUCGAUUAAGUACAAACGAGCUAGAAUAUAACACAACAUGGUUACAUAGAUCUCCCGUCCGUUAGUCUUAAGAGGGGGGGGGGGGGGGGGGGGGGGAGAAAUACAACAAACUAUCUGGAAAUUCACUUGAUAAAUCAUGAACUUCAAUCCAAUGCGGUUUACAGGGUUUGGAUCAUCUUCCAGUGAAUUGAAAUACACCACUGAAAACCUGGCUGUUGCCACCCAGUGUUGCUUCCCACUCGAUCGAAGAUGUCGCAAUCUGCGAGAGCAUCACAACAAUCUCCCUCAUCUCUGGCCUCUCCACUGCUUCUUCACUCAUACACCACUCUGCAAUUUCUGCCAUCUGCAACCAAAGUAAUGUUUUUACUCACUUUAAUCGAAAUUUUUUGGAAGAAGCGUUUCCUCCUUCCAAAAUUUUUUAUCAAAAAUGUUUUGACAAAUUACAAUUUGACACGUGUGCAGAAACUUUUUGUUUUGUUGUGUCAAUCUGUGAUUUGCAGUUAGGGCGGAGUGGCUCCUUAACUGUAACGAGCCAAGCAGUAUACAUUAGAUCACCUUGAACAUGUCCUCCAUAGGAUAGUUGCUUCUGAGGUUUCCAUCUGUGGCAGCCUCUAAAGCUGCUUCUGGAUGAUCAUCUUGGAACACCUUUUUUAUCUGACAAAAUGAGUAGCAAAUCAAUCAAAUUUGUAUUGUACUACUAGUGAUCAGGGACAUGCAGAGUCUUUGUUCAAGUCGGGUUGAAACUUACGACUGUAAUUAAGGAUUUCAUCUUCCCAGGCUCUCGAUUGUCACGGAAAAGCGCACGUUGCCCUGUGAUCAGCUCUGCUAGUACCACUCCGAAUGCAAACACAUCGGUUUUGUGAGUCACCUGGAGCUCCUUCACGGAUCUUUCAGAAUUAACACAUACACAGUCAGAUACAUGAAAAACUAGGGCAAACUUGCUUCCAUGUGCAGGUAAACUCGAACGAAGCUUACUCUGGGGGAAGAUAGCCCGGUGUUCCAACCAGCCGUGUUGCGAAAACAUCUUCUUCAUUGGUUCUUCCAACAAGCUUUGCCAAGCCAAAAUCUGCUACCUACAGAAAAUGGAUUUUAAGCUACUAAUUAGAAGAAAGAACUUAUUCUAUCUUUUAACAGAAAUGAUAUAACGAUUCAUGUUUCAGGUAUACCUUUGCUCUGAACCCCUCGUCAAGUAGAAUGUUACUAGUCUUUAUAUCACGGUGCACAUAUCGCGCUUUUGUGUGGUCAUGAAUGUACUCAAUACCUUUUGCAGCGUCCACUGCAAUUUGUGUUCUUGCAGUCCAAGAAAGUGGCUGAUGACCUGAUUUAAUUCGUUUGGUUAGCUUCGCACAUAAACACUAGAGAGGCGUGUGCGCGCAAUGAUCUGAGUACCUUUAAGUAAAGGAUCAUGAAGAUGUUCGCUCAGCGAUCCAUUCUGGACAUACUCAUAGACCAGGUAGAGGUGGUCAUCUCCACUGGCAUACCCCAAAAGCUCCACCUAAAACAGAUUUUUAAACAAGUGAUUAGACUAAAAGCACUUCCUUUCGCACCGUGUUAGAGGUCAAUUUAUUCCGAAAUGAUUGCUCACCACGUUAAUGUGAUGGAUCUUGCACAAGACCUUUAGCUCUGCAAAAAAUUCUUUGGUACUAUUAGACUUCAUCUUCUUUAUGGCAACCUCCUGAAAGUUGAACAUUUAUAGCUUAGUUUCAUAGCUUUUUUCGAGUAGAAACGGAGAAAAUUUGUGGGGUUCUUGCCAUACCUUCCCCCUUAUUACUCCGAGGAACACGCUACCAUAUCCACCCUCUCCGAUUUUCUUAGUUUCAUCGAAGUAACCGGUUGCCUCCUCAAUCUCCUCAAGGCUGAAUAUGACCAGUCCGUCUGAUUCAAAAAUUGCCACAUCUAUGAAAUAAACAAUGUAGAUUUAUUGUCAUGAGCAGAAAUUUCUCUCUUUCAGGCAUACUAACAUGCACAAAUUAUUACAUUACAGAGAUGCUGCUGGAGUUUUAUCUGACCUCCCAUGUUUUCUUUAUGAAGCAACUGAUUAUGCAACGACAAGGAUCGGUGAGGAGCCGAGCUUUUCGAGCUUUUCAAGCUUGUCGAUACAGGUUUAUCUGGAACUUCCACAUUUUGUUCCGGUUUUCUUCUCCGAUAAAGGAUAAAGAUCAAUGUGCUGAUUGAAAGCAAUGUCACAGCUAAUAAAAUUGCAACCAAUAUUGACCACUUGUGUCUGAAUCCUGAUGAUCAAAACAAAGGGAACAUGGAUCAACUCGGACAGAAAAUAAUCUGUGAAUUUUCUGAAAUUCUUGUAUAAACUUACGUAUGUAAGAUUACAAACAUACGUAAUCUGAUUUCUACUAAAUUUCGACUUGAUUCAGAACUUAUUUUUUGUUGAAAAAUGUAAAAGUCAGAUAUCAAAAACCCCAAAAAACUAAAGAAUAACAUAUCAUGAGUGAUUCCACCAUUGCUAAUUGCAUCAAAGCCUUUUGUAUAAAACUGUGCUCGGACAGUCCGUCUCUCCGACAUCUUAACACACAGAAACAUUGAAUCUUUACUUUUCAAACUGUGGACACAGAUUUUUUGAUAUUUCAGUCAAAUGAAAUCAACUCAAGAAGUUCUUAAAGAGAGCUCUCACCUGGCUUUGAUGUUCUGAGUCCAUUCUUUUCCAUGGGGACAAACAACACCCAACCCACAACUAUGUAUGAAGGAUUCUCGGUCAUAUUUUUGUUCAUUUUUUCAAUGUUUUCAAUCUUCGCAGACAGUAGCGUGCCAAUAUCCGACAGUGUAUCAUGCUCCUGAACUGUAUAUGUCACCACAAUCUGAGACUGGCUUUGUACGCAACCGCAUGGGAGAUGGAUGGGAAAAUCAGCGUCUGUUUUAAACUGCGGUAUCUCUUCUUCGAUAUACAAAGGCUGCCCGCUGUAAAUCUUCGUCGACACAUUAUAAAACGUGUCAAAUUGUUUCACCUUGUAGGUCGUGUCAUAGAAGUAUCCAACAGUGCCGGAUAUGUUUUUGCAAGAACAAGGCACACUUAUCAGGUAAUCUUGCUUCUUGUUGUGCUUUAUAGGUCUGAUUUCGGAUGGAUUCACGGUGUACAAAGUGGCAAUUUCUUCUACCUUCAGAUCGAUGUUGAUGUGGUAGAGCGAGGCGUUACAUGUCAUGAUUUUCGCAGAGCAACUCAAAGGGUUUACGAGAGCAGACCUGAUGGAUGCAUCGGCAGCGAAAACUGCAGAAAAUAGACUAAGAAAUAGGGAGAGGAGCAUGCAUGGAAGGAGGAGAUGGGGGGAUGCCAUGGCUGUGGGAUGGUGGACUGUCAAGAUUUCAGAGAGACGGGCGAAAACAUAGUUUCAAAGAAUCAAAGCACAGUUUAUUUUUGUUUGUUUCUCAAUUAACACAAAGAGAUGUAAUUGCAAAGACAGCUGAGUUCAUAUUUUUGUAAGCAUCGACGAAAAUUAUGACUUUCAUCAGAUUUUUGUCUGGUUUUGGGGGGAGUUUGGUUAUAUUAGUUAUUUCAUGUUCAACUGCAACAUAUACCAGCUAUUUGGACUGUCAUGCUGAGAUAAACGCGGAACCUUUUUGGAUUUUGGGUGCUGCGCCUGCUAGACCGAAUGAAUAUGUGCACCGUUCCAACCAAGGCUUAUCAAUUGAUUUUCCUUGCAAUUGUCAUUUGGUCUCAUUUUAAACUUAUUUUGUCUCUCGACACUGCUAUUUUCGUUACAUUUAGUCUCAUUUCACCAAAUUUAGUCAACUUUGUCAAACAAGUCUUAAAUUAAAAAGUAGUAUGAACAUUGACCGUCGACUGAACUUAAGGAUUGAAUUUACAAGCCUAAAUUUCUUCCUUCCCUUUCACUUAAUUUGUUUUUCCAAUUUUUCUUGCCGCUAAAUUAAAGUUUGUUUUUUUAUCACUACUUAUUUACCAAGCCGCUUGGUAAAUACGUGGUGAUCAACCAAAAUUCUCAUGUAAGUGCCACGUCGUCAAGCAUGGGGCUUAUCUUUACUUGAGUAACAACAAAAUGUCCAUACUACUUUUUAAUUUAACUUCUGUUUGAUGGAAUGGAAGAAAAUCAUAGUUUCAAGGGGCAAAGACAAAAUAAGUCUCAAGAUGACGAAAAUCACCGUUUCAAUUAAUAAGCCUUCCAUAACUAGUGUGAUAUUUUGUUACAAGACUAUUUUAAUCUUAAAUACAAACGAGUAAGCACACUCUCUGAUUAACUGACCUAACUCACGUCCACAAAUAAUGUCACUCUUUAUAAUUCACAAGCCUAAAUUUCUUCCUUCCCUUUCACUUAAUUUGUUUUUCCAAUUUUUCUUGCCGCUAAAUUAAAGUUUGUUUUUUUUAUCACUACUUAUUUACCAAGCCGCUUGGUAAAUACGUGGUGAUCAACCAAAAUUCUCAUGUAAGUGCCACGUUGUCAAGCAUGGGGCUUAUCUUUACUUGAGUAACAACAAAAUGUCCAUACUACAUUUUAAUUUAACUUUUGUUUGAUGGAAUGGAAGAAAAUCAUAGUUUCAUGGGGCAAAGACAAAAUAAGUCUCAAGAUGACGAAAAUCACCGUUUCAAUUAAUAAGCCUUCCAUAACUAGUGUGAUAUUUUGUUACAAGACUAUUUUAAUCUUAAAUACAAACGAGUAAGCAUACUCUCUGAUUAACUGACCUAACUCACGUCUACAAAUAAUGUCACUCUUUAUAAAUCUAAUAACAGAUGUGAUCUGACGGUUCAAGAUUAACCACCGAUCGAUAUAGACAGAGAGAACUAGCUUGUUGCUUCAUUGUAACUUAUGACAUUAUUAUGCAGUUUAUUAUUAAUAAAAGUUGUGAGUCAGUAGCUCAUGCACAGUCAUGAAAUAGUAGACAGCUUUGUUCUUGCCGUCUGUAAAGCAUGGUUGGCCGUUUAGAUAUAUGCUUAUGCUUUAAUUUUGUCACUAACCAGAAUUAGUAGACAACUUUUGUCACAGUGUAUUGCUCAAGAAUAUUGUUCUUGGCCGUUGAAAUAGUACACAACUUUUGUCACAGUCAUGAAUAUUGUUCUUGGCCGUUAAAAUAGUAGACAACUUUUUUCUUUCUUUGUUUUUAAUUAACCGGGGGGGGGGGGGGGGGGCACGCGGCCGUCCAUGUUCUGGAUUUCUGAAACAGUAUAUUGUUCUUGAGCAAUUAAAUAUAUGCUUAUGCUUUAAUUUUGUCACUAAUCAGAAUUAUAUACCUUGAGAACUCUGCUAAGAGCUAGCUAAGCACUGGUGUGUCCUUUUCGUAUCUACUUCUACCUUUAUCUGGUGUCGUUCGACUGGAAAUUAGCUAGCGAUACGAAGAGCUAAUUAACGUUUAAUUGUGGAUGGUUAGGGUAGGUAAUCAUGGAGUUAGGGAUUAGUUCUUCGGAGUUAUGUGCCCGCUAAGAGAAAACAUAUUUAGAGACUUUGAUGCAAGAAGUCAAUGCGUCUUUGGGAGGGAGGAAGCAGGCUGGCAAUUUUAAUUCGCCAAGUUACUGUCAAGUUUGUCAAUUAUAAUUUGUUUAAAAAUCUAUAAUAUAUUUCAUUGGAGCAUGCGUUUACCUCAGUCACAGUCAUGGUACAAUAAUAAAAGGACGAAUUGUAGACGAUGUAGUCAAGUUGGUUAGAGCAAUAUACUCAUGUUCAAAUCUUCAUUCUUAUAGUUUAGAUAUUAGAUUAAUUAGAAUAUGUCAUAACUUCUCAUUUUGGUCCCUGAGAUUUAAAAUCGAUAUAAGUGAUCUUUGAGAUUGUCAAUCGUCAAUCAUUUUUGUCAUUAUAUGAGAAAUCUUCGUUAAUUUAAGGGUAUCUUUGUCAAAUUAACCCCUCCCCUUGAACUAGUGGUUUCUUCAAUUGAAGAUUUUUCACAUGAAGACCACAAUGAUUGACGGUGAACAAUAUAAAAAACCAUGUAUAUUGAUUUUAAAUCUUAAAGACCAAAAUGAUAAGUUGUUACUAUUUCAGAGAUCAUUUGGAAUAAAAAGCCUUAAAUAAAGGAAACUUGUGAAACAAGUAUACAACAAGAAAAUAGAAAGAAAAUCAACUUGUGAAUGUUUGUUAACUAAUUACAGGAAAAUAUUUGAGCCCUAAACAUUUGCUAUUUUCCCGCCAACGUAAGAAAACCUCUGCUACUUUUGGACUUUGCUGCCAUCUUGUGACCGGCGAGGGGGCAACAGAAGAAGCAGCGGUGGACAAAAUUCCUACUUGUCACUCUACCACCCUCUCGCCAAGGAAGGCAGGCAACCAUCCAUGAUUCACCGGUACGUAGUUUGAUUGUGACAUUUGCAAUUAAUUAAGAAAAGCAUUAGUCACUAAUCGCCAUCAAUCGCAUUAAUUAAUUAACACACAUAGACAUUAUGCGUCGUCUAAUGAUCAUCGAGACAAUCAUCUUCACCUUAAGCAUCGUUAUCGUCGUCAUCAUCGCUCCUUGUACAGAGGCAGCUGGAAAAGGCCUUGGGAACGGCUUAAAUGUAGGUUUCUACAGUCGCAGUUGCCCGAAUGUGGAGAAAAUUGUGGCUGACAUCGUGUCCGAGGCUAACCGGCAAGAUCCAAAGCUCCCCGGUGCCCUCAUUCGCCUCUUUUCCCAUGAUUGCUUUGUCAAGGUACGCACAGCAUUGUACUAUUUAUAUCAUCUCAACUGACAUGCCAGACAUCUCGCUAAUAGGGACGAGAUCCACCUACAUUGAGACCUACAUGUUCGAUUCUCGUACAAAACGUAGUCAGUCAGUUAAGAUGGUACAAAUAUCGCGUAGUAUUUUAUUGUCUAGAUUGGUUGAGUUCACCCCCUUGAGGCUUUUAACAAUUACAAUUUACAGGGCUGCGAUGCCUCAAUUCUGUUGGAGACCACACGCUCAAAGGAGCCUGUAGAGAAAAAAGCACAAGGAAAUGACUUCAUUAGAGGUUUUGAACUCAUUGAUGAGAUCAAGGCCAGGCUAGAACAAGAGUGCCCGCAAACCGUCUCUUGCGCCGACAUACUAGCCUUUGCUGCUCGGGAAGCUGUUUUUCUGGCUGGUCUACCCCGCCACAAAGUCCCCGCUGGACGCCGCGACAGUCGUACUUCCCGUGCUUCCGAUGUUGGCCUCCCUGCUCCUACAACACCUUUCAACGAUAUCAUAGAUUUCUUCACCAGAAAAGGCAUCACCCUCGACGAACUGGUUGUGUUGAGCGGUGCACACUCCAUCGGGGUGGCCCAUUGUAGCUUCUUUGAUUACAGACUCUACAAUUUCAACACAUCUCAGCCCCAAGACCCUGCCCUCAACUCAACCUACGCUGCUGAUCUGUCCACAAAGUGCCCGAAACAAAAUACAUUGCCUGCAGACGAAGCGAAAAAGAGGGCCGUGGACUUCGAUCCAAUAACACCACUUGUUCUGGACAACAACUUCUACCUGAACCUUUUGCAAGGGAAAACCUUGCUCCAGUCGGAUCAGAUAAUGGUUUCUGAUCCUCGCACCAGCGCGUUGGUAAAGACAUUGGCCUCGGAUUCUGAAGCUUGGAGUCGAAGGUUUGCCAAGGCCAUGAUCAAGAUGGGGCGAACAAACGUUCUCACUCGAGAUGAGGGAGAGAUAAGGAAAAAUUGCAGAACCUUUAACUAACAUUAUGACCAAUUGUGUAUAUCCAUAUGGUGUAAAAAGUAAUUGUGUACAUAAUAUCCAUGUAGUGUAUCGAAUCCACUCGGGCACUUUCCCUGCAAGUUUAGUCAUGCACAACGACGUCGUACAUGUCACGACCAAAGAUUUUAUUUUUAAUAUAUGAAACAGGAAUUGAUCAAGAAUGUAAUUUAGAAGGACUCAAUUGACCAGAAAAAGAAACUUUGAAGUUAUUCUUAAUAAAGACGUUACUCUUAUCAUCUAGUUAUGUUAUCGUUUGUAUCAUCUUUUUAAUAGAAAUGAGGCCCACAUGUGUUGGUGGGCUCGCACCUCUAUUAGAGAGACGGCACAAAUAAAUGAUAGGGCAUUACUCAUUAUUGUAGGCAUGCAACGCUAACUAAGAUUGACUAGAGUUUCAUCCCUGUUGUAUGGAAACCUCCUAUGGUGGGGUGGAUCAAGGUAAAUACUGAUGGGUCUUUCAAGUCUAUAGGCCGUGUGGGCUAUAUGCGUGUUGAUUGGAGCAAUUGCCUAUGGCGUAUUAGGCAUAUGCGUGUUUUUGUUUCCCAUAUGUUUCGCGAUGACAACUGUGUGGCUUAGGCCUUAGCUAACUUUGGUGCAAAUCAUGCUGCAUAUUGUUGGUGGUCUAAUGUUCCUUCAUGUGCAGCUUCUGCUUUCAUGAUAUUUCUGCUUCUACCAAAUAUCAUUUCAGAUGAUUUUUACUAUAUGUUUUCUUUGUACGUGGGGUUGAUUUUUGAUUUCCUGGCCGUAUUAAUUACUUGCUAUAUUUUUUCCUCAACGAGGUUUGGCUUUAUGUUCUCUUUGUUUGUAUUUCUCCUUUUAUUUUAAUAAGAUUAUGGGAAUGAUCGGUCAACCACUAUAUCCCAUCUUUUAGAGGAAAAAAAAAGUUUUAAUGAAACACUUCAGUAUUGUUCAUUUUUAACAAAAAAGACAUAUUUACCUUAAAAAGUCACUCCUGGUACUAUUUACUUACAACACAUUUUUGUCCUUUUGAUUAAAACCCAAAGUCUUCAAAUCAUUUUCAUUAUUUUUUCUAAAAUAAAAAGCACAGAAAUUUAUAAAGGGGCAAAAAACAUAUAUGGUCCUCUUCCAACGCCCUUUUUCUGGGGAGAAUGCCGAUUUGCCGCAAAGAACUUCCUCUGUCUCCUUUGUUUUUUCAUUUUUUCUUUUCUUCUUUUUCAGAUCCAUGGUGUUAAAAUUGCUUCACUACUUCUAAAUAUUAUGCUCAAAUUCUAUCACUUAAUUAAAUACGUAAUGAGGGUAACCCUUAUGUUUAAGGACUCAUAUGCGGAAGAAUGCAUGAGAACAUGUAAUGGCAGUUUCCAUCAAAAUAAAAACUUGCAAAAUAUUAUAAUAUCAUUUGCUAAAAAAAUGCAUCAGUUAUAGUUCUAUGAAAUUUUUUGAAAAAUACCAAUUAACUAUUGUAGAAAACUAUUCAGAAGUUGUAGUUAUGUGAAAUUUUCAUCAUGGUCGUCUUGAUUGUAGCCUUGUAGGUUUCUCAAUUAAGAAAUUAAUUUGACAAUUUGAUCGACUUAAUUUCCAUCAGAAUGAAUACCUCUUAAUAUUUUCUCAUGCUCUCGGGUUGGGAUAUGAAAAUAAUCAAACCACAAAAAAGAAAAAAAAAAGAACAAAAAGGAACAGACAGAAAGAGCCUAUCUAUGUGGCUUUUGAUUUUCAAUUUGAGGGUACUUCGUUUAAUUGAUAUGAGGUUUUGACUAUAAAUGACAACAUUUUUAAAUUUAGGAGUUAAAUUUUGACUAUAAACGAUAUAGUAUCCAUUAAUCAAAAAGAGCCGAACAAAUGGUGAAAAAAAAAAAACCAUCUUUCUAUAGUAUUGCAAUUUUAACCACGAAUAACGAGGUAAAACAAAGGCAAACCUAAGUCACUCACUUUGUAUAUAAACACAGCCCCGCAUCGUGUCUCCGUCGUGACUGUGGCACAAAAAGAGAAAGAAACCAAACAAUUCUCUCUAAGGUUGUGCCACUUCAAGUCACAAACAGUCACCGAUCUUCUACCGGGGAGAUGGGUAGUCGUUUAAUUGCCGCGCCGGUUUUUGCCGUCACCUUGUGCUCCAUGAUCGUCGUUGCUUAUUCGGCAGAUGUGAACAACCCGGGGAACGGGUUGCAUGUUGGAUUUUACAAUCGGAAAUGUCCCAAUUUGGAGAAAAUUGUGAUUGACGUUGUGGCCAAGGCUGUAGAGAAGGACCGAAAGCUUCCUGCUGCCCUCAUUCGCCUCUUCUUCCACGAUUGCUUUGUCAAGGUAAAUACAGUUUACUGUGCCUAUUGGGAUAACGCCUUGAUUCCUUACAUGUAAUAUAUCAUUUGUGGCAAUGCCGUUUAGGGUCAUGCAUGUCAAAUUGUGAUUAUUACUUAAAAUAUAUUCAUGAAUGUACAUACAGGGCUGUGAUGCGUCACUUCUGCUGGAUGUCACACCCUCUGGCGAGCCCGUAGAGAUGCUAUCACCGGCCAGCUUCGGGGUCCGAGGUUUAGAAGUCAUUGAUCAGAUCAAGGCUAGGGUAGAAAAGGAGUGCCCGGGAACCGUCUCAUGUGCCGACAUUUUAGCUUUUGCCUCACGGGAAGCUGUGGCUCUGUCCGGUUUGCCUCGUUACGAAGUCCCUGCUGGACGCCGCGACAGCCGCACUUCCCGUGCCUCCGACGUCAUACUUCCUUCUCCCACAACACCUCUGAAGGAGCUCAUAGACUUCUUCUCCAGAAAAGGCUUGAGCCUUGAGGAAAUGGUUGCCUUGUCUGGAGCGCACUCCAUCGGCACCGUCCACUGCAGCUUCUUCGAUUACAGGAUGUACAAUUUCGCACCAGGUAAGCCGAAAGACCCUUCACUAAACGAAGUGUUUGCGGCUCAGCUUGCUCAACAGUGCCCUGCACCCAACGCAUUGCCCGCGGAGGAGGCUAAAAAGAGGGCUGUUGACUCAGACCCCACCACACCGCUCGUCCUGGACAAUCACUACUACAAGAGCCUGAUGCAGGGGAGAGGAUUGAUGGAGUCGGAUCAGGUUUUGGUGAUCGACCCUCGCACCAGAGGGGUGGUGGAGAAACUGGCUAGGUCUGAUUCUUUUGCUCGGGCAUUUGCAAACGCCAUGAUUAAGAUGGGGAGAAUCAAUGUUCUCACUGAAGAUCAAGGAGAGAUACGGAAAAAUUGUCGGAAAUUUAUCUAACUGACUAGGAGCACAUGUUUCAGCUCUUAAUUCUUAAACAUCAAUUGUGGCUUGGCUUGGAAGAACCUUGUUGUAUUUUUGUAACAAUUACUGUUCUUGUUGACUGACUUAUUUGCUGAUUGAUUUUUCCGUGUAACCUUAGCGAAGCCAAUCACGGGGUUACCAAUUCAUUCAUGUUGUAAUAUGUGCAUCUUGUCGAAUUAUGAGAGAGAGAGAGAGCCAAAUGCCCACUUCUAACAACAUCGAUGUUAUCUCCAACUUAAUAAUUACAACAUGGCCAAUCACGGGGUUACCAAUUCAUUCAUGUUACAACACUUGUAUCUUGUCAAAUUAUCAAAGAGACAGGCCAAAGACCCACUUCCAACAUACUACGAUAUUGUCCCCAACUUAGGAGGAUUCACCCUACACGCAGGGUCAAGGGACCCACCAUCAUCGCACUGGGCCAAUGGGACAUGCUCCCUGCCUCUGAUACCAUGUUAAUUUAGGCUUAUUUUGGAGUUUCAAUUCUUGAUAUUAUUCUUCUCAAGGAGGCAAAUAUAUAUUACUGACUUGAUUUAUAAGGUAAGAAUGUGCAAUAAUAUUUACUCUAAUUAUACGAACUCAAACGGGAAUAAAAUCCCCCUAAUUACACAAAAGUCAACUCAUUCCAACACUUACCACAUAUGGAAGUUAAACAUAAAAUUUCUUACUCACAAACGACUGAUAUAUCAUUAGAAUGUAUUACUAAUGACAACCUUCCAGAAUUCUUUUUUAAAAUACCUUGAAUUUCAACUUUCAACCUAAACCAUAUGAUUAAAAGAGAAGAAAAAGCAGAUAAAAUAAAAUGAAAUGGUUAAAGCUUUAUAUACAAAAAAAUUGAAAUAAAACUAGAGAGUCGUAUCAACCCCCAUUUCACUGAUAACUCUCUCCAUGUUACUCAACAUAUCUGGAAAAUAACAGGGAAGAAAUAAAUAAUUAGAAACAAAUUACCAUUUCAUGCGUUGCAAUAAUUCUCAGAGAAGAAAAAAAGAAAAGUGAAGCUACUACCUUGGGGGGAAGCAUCUCCCCUGUAACUCUGCUACAUAACAAACAUUUGUGUUAAUACUUCAUCACAUGGAAUCACAUUGUUCUACUGACGAAGAAAAUUGUCUAUGACGAGAAACUUUGAGGUGUUAGAAAUAGUUACUGCGAGUUGGGAUAUGAGAAUGACUUCUUGUGAUACAAAUGAUUGUGCUGCCAUUGAAUCAUUCAAUCAAGGACAAAUUUUCCGUUGAAUAAAAUUUCGGUUUACUGCUAAGGUCGCGAAUGUACCUUGUUCAAAAACAGGUUGAGAGUUCCCAAGUCAUGAGGUGAAAUUUGGAGGCAUGAUAUGGGAGUUGAGAUUGACAGACUCUGAUACAGUUGAUUGAGCUGCGCGUACAUUCAAUCAUGAUUAAUGGUAGUAAAAUUUCUGGUUAUCUGCAAAGGCGUACAUUCUACCUUGUUUAAUUGUCUAAAAAUAAAUAUAAUUUACCUUGUUCAACGGUGCCGCGAUAGUCAUUCAGCUAUGUGGUGAAACCUGGACGAACGGCUGGAAAGUUUUGUUGAAAGUUAUGAAUAUGCAUCAUCGGAUGAGCAUAUGAGUAGUGCUCACCUGCAUUGCCGAAGCUUGGCAGUAUUUGAGUGGUAUAAGUCUGAACCGGAGUCAUGAUAAAGCGUGUACAAACCCUGGAAACUCAGCAAAACACCAUCGCAGCUCAAGGGGAAACGAAGAAUUUAGGAGAUUGCAGGUUUUGUAUUUACUGGUCGAGGGGUGGCCUAGCCGAAUAAACGAACUCACACUGUGCUGAAACUUCAGAUUCCAUGUCAGUAUUAAGAGGUUCAAUGUCGAAGAUCCCCUGAAAAACAAAACCAAUCGUAACUCUAUUACCAUUGCAAUACAAAGGAAAAGAUAUUUCAUCUACUAACACACUGGAUUUUGUUUGCAGUAAUGAUUUCACCUUCAAAGAGAUCAUAAAUCUCUCUGCCUCAUCGACUGACAAAAAUCGCAACGCAAACUUCUGGACCUGCAAACAAGAUCUUAGUUAACACAAGGGCAUUGUGAGUUCUUGUAGCAAAAAAAAAAAAAAAGCAUUGCGCAGCUUGCCUCGCCCACACAGUCUCGAUAGCUGACAAGCACUCUGGUACCCUUGGAAGGAAGUCGCGGGUUGCAUGAAACGUGAGGCCAAACAUACUGCCGCUUGGAAACAUAGUGCUCCUCCUGCAACAUGUUAAGUCGUAAUCAUUCAAAGAGUUUGCCAGAUGAAAUCUACGAAUCUUCGAAAAACCAAACAAAUUGGGAACAAAGAAAGUUUGGCCUAGAGGCUAGAAAAACAACCCAAAAUCCCAGUAAUCCUCACUGCAUUACUUGUUGAUUAAGCCACAGAAACAAUCAAGCGGGGAAAAUCAUAAAAAUUGAAUGCUCAAGCAUUUAAGUAUCGAAAAGGAAAUAACCAAACAAGAGUUAAGUAAAAUAUGGGGAUUUAACAGCUAAUUAAUUAAUAUUAAACAGUUGACGUCUAUUGAAUACUUUUCCUGCAAGGUUACGAGACUUCUUUGGGAAGAAGCAAAGAACAACGUCGUAGUCGUAGUAAUCUCCGGCAGAAACUAGCUAUAAACAAUCUAGCACUUGUUGAACUCGUUUUAUUUAUCAUAUUUGAGCUUAAAUACCGUUUGGCCGCCGUGAAAAUGCGUAGUGUACGUAUGGAAAAUGGGCAAAUUUAUUACAAUGCAUGGACAUGGACACGGAUACGGGAAUAUGACAUGAUGGGGCAUGUCAAAUUUCUAAAAACGAAGACACGAUAUGUCUGGGAUAUGGCAAUUAAAAAUAUAUAUAAAUAAAUAAAUAUAUCUAAAACAUUAUAAAAUAAGCAUUCAAAUUUAUUACUCAAGUUCAAAUUUAUUUCAAUAAGGGGCAUUUUGACAUAGAUGCCUCAAAUUUGAAUUUUUUUAAUCAAACAUCUAUAACUUUUAAACUUUUGAUCAAACAUUCUUCUACUAAUUUUUAAUUAAAAAUUAUGAUUUUUAUUGUAUUUAAUUAACCAACUAGUUCAGAAAAUAAUAUCACAAAUAUUCUAAAAUCAUCACAAACUUCCUAGCUUAUCUUAUCAUAAUUCGUUCAAAAUGAAUUUUUCUUAUUCAAAUAAUUUGUUGUUUUAAAUUCUAAAAACACAUAAACAUCCUAUUAACAUACAAUUAUGAAAUAUAACAUGCACAUAUAUUAAAUAUAACGUACCAAACAGAUAUAUUAAAUAUAACGUACCAAUCAUUUGGUAUGUUAUUGGUACGUUAUAUAAAUUUAAUCUGGGUACAUAUUAGUAUUUUGGUACAUUAUAAAAUAUUGCUUUUGGUACGUUAUGCAAUUCUUUAUUUAGUAUGUACCAAGUUAUUAGUACGUUGUAUUAUCCUUACUUUGGUACGUACAAAACUUAUGGUACGUUAUGUGUAAGUUGUGUAACCCAAAAAAAAGAUAACUUUUCACAUUAAAACAUUGCACUAAAAAAUAUUUUGUCAACUCUUAAUAAUUAAUUAUUGGACUAAGGACUCAUUUUAAAUAAAAAAAAUGUGAAAACUCUUAGUUCACGUUUCUACUAUAAGUAGUUGUUAAAAAAUUCAAAUUUAUUUUCAGUUGCAUGAAAUUAGGCAGUCUAGUCUACAUCUCAAUUUUAAUUAUAAACGAGCUCUUGUUUUUUUUAUAAUCUAUAUAAAAUGUUGAGUUGGAAAUUGGAAAAACUAUAUUUCAUCCAAUUAAUCUUGAACCCCAGUAGAUAUAAUUGAAUCCUUAAAUUGAGGAAGGGAUGAGAUUCCAUAAAAAUAGCAAUAAAUUAAUGAAUAUUAUUGAGUGCAUUUUUUUUUACAUAGAAAUGGAUUUAAAUAAUUUAUAAAAUACUUAAAUUAAGAAUCUACCUGGAAUAUAAAGUUUAAUUAAAAGUAAAAGCACUUUAAUCAAAAGUUGAAAAGUAACAGAUGUUUAAUUUAGAAAAAUCUAAAAUGAGGCAUCUAAUUCUAAUUAACUGUUUCAAUAAACUCUAAACAGUUAGAAAGAUAUUGCAUCUAACAAGCAAUUAGUCUUAAAACUUGAAAAAGUAAAAAGAAUAUCCAUGCCACUACACAAUAAUAUAUUAUAAUACGUAAAAUACAAUAAUAUUAUAAUAAUACAAAAAAGUUAAAAACUGAAAAGCAAAAGACUUGGAAUCAAAUUAAGGCUACGAAUGGACUAUGGAGUAGUGGUAUGGAUAUUAUAAUAUAUUAUUGUAAUAUUGUAAUAUUAGUUUGAGAAAAGCAAAAGGCUUCGAAUCAGAUUAAGUUUUUAGUUUCAGAGAUGGGCUUUGUCCUCGGGGAAUCAGAUUAAAGCUUCGAAUGGACUAUGGAGUCAUUGAAUCAGUAAAGCUGAGGAGGAAGAUCAGGAAAGCAUCGGAUUUGAAACUAUUAACAAAGUGAAAAUGAAAGCUCACCACUCACGAACAGUUGCAGACAGAGACGAAUGAGACGAUGGAGCAUUGUAGAUGGAGAAGAUGGAGACGACGGAGACGACAGAUGACGGUCAAUGGUGAUUCGUGAAAGUCUCCCAAGCUGAAUGAUUUAUGAGGUUCGAGAGUUAAAUCCGAAUUUUUUUCUUUCUAAUAUCCUCCGAUUUUAAUGUGAUUUCAGUUAGCUAGCUUCGAUCAAUCACAAUUAUGUGCGGAUUUAUUGUGAUUAUUAUUAUUAUUAUUUCUGAUUAUCCUCCUAUUUUAGUUUGAAACUUAUCCAAGAAGUAGGAUACUGAUAUCUCGACAAUACGAUACGCGUAUCUUAUCAGUCCUAAAUGUAUCCCUUCACUCCGAUACGUAUCAGGUGUGUAUCCACACGUAUCCGUAUCCAUAUCCUCAACGUGUCAGAUACGAGAUACGGUGGCUUUCUCUUGUGUCCAUGCAUCUGAUUGUCCUUGAGAAAAAACGUGGGCUCACUACAACUUUGUCGGCGAAGCAGACGGUGAGAAGGACGUCGGAAGAGGAGGAGAAGUGAUCGUGAGCGAGCUGGAUGUAGCAUAGCCAGGGAGGAGGAAACCCAGUUGCCAACUAUCGAUCGAUUUCUGAUCCUGGUGGUCAGAGGGACGAAAUACAUGCGUAGGCUUCUUUCGGCAAAAUACACACCUAGGUUUCUUUGGGCGUGCCUGAGGUGUCGAUUGGGCGUCCCUUUUUCUUUUUUUAAAUUUCAAAAAUCUAAUUUUUUUUUAGAGUUGCAAAACUGUUUUGAGUUGUAAGUCAUGAACACCAACGAAGAAGAUGAAGAAGAUGAAGAAUAUGAAGAAGACGACCAGGUUUUUUAGGCUGAGUUGGUGUUUUUAAAUUUUUUUUUUAAUGUUUAAACUGACUCUACUUUGCCACAUCUAUUACCCCAUUAUCUUCACUUUUUUUAAACUAAUCCCACUUCAAUAACAUUUAUUAUCCCACUAUCUCUUUUAUGUUCACUUUUUAUUUUUAAUAUUUAUUUUCUCAUAUACUAGAUGUAUAUUAGAUAAGCAUUGUUUUGUUUUUGUUUUUAUUAUUUUUCUGAAUAUUCUUAUGAUUGACGUAGAAAUGAAAACAUCUUUCUAUGUGGAUUAUUAUUUUCUUAAUGUUAUAUUAUUCUUUUUUUUUUAAUUCGUUAUAUUUUUUUCUUCUUAUUUAUCUUUUUUAAAGACUACCUAUCCCACUUAAAUAUUAUCCAAAACUCUCAUAUAAAUAGGCACUUACUUAAGUAGAUGUUUGAAAUUGAUUAAUUUGAAUGUUUGAUUAAACUUGGUUAUGUGAGUUAAACUUGUUUGUGACUAUUAUAUUUUUAUAUGUAUAAAAUAUGUAUUAAAAAAUUAGGUCGCCUCACGUCUUAAGGCUUUCAUCUAGGCGGGAGCUGUCAAUCAAAUGUCUCGUCCACGCCUUUGCCUUUUAAAACAUUGUUCAGUACUGCGGUUUGAUGAUAUUUCUUUUCAUUUGGGAGUGAGAGGUCUUAGGUUUGAAUCUCGUGGAUGGCGAAUUCAAUACCAAAUUAGGUUUGCCCAUUGUGUGACUUAGCCGAACUCCCUCUCCCUUUAGUGUAAAAAUAUCAAUGUAUUCAUAAAAAAAAAAUAAAAAAAACAGCUAAAGGCUCUCUAUAAAUUCUUAGCCACCUUAUAUUUUUAUACAAUAUUUUAUAAUAUUAUCACGAAAAUUAACAUUGAAUGUUAAAGUGUUAGAGAAUUCAUAAAAGAAGUCUGAAAAAAAUUCUCUUGCAUUUCUAGAAGGACAAGGAUUGUCUGCCCUUCUUGUUCUCGUGCUCUUUUGUUUUGUGUGAUCAUGGUUAAGCUACGUCAACAUUUUAUAUUGUUUUUUUAAGAUAAUAAGAUAAAAAUAAAUAGUAAUAUAAAAUGUUGACGUGAUUUAAUUGUGAUCACAAACAGAGGGAAUGGAAGGACACGGAACAAGCAAGCAGAGUAGACAAUCCUUGUCCUUUCUAGAAACCACGUCCGAACGUUGAAAUUUUAAAAUAAUAAAUGACAAACAAAAGGUUUGGAGUGCAUAGAAAACAUCAAUACCCAACCGCACUAUCUCAGUUUUGCGUUCUUCCCAAGCAGCACCAGCACCAGCACCAGCACCAGCACCAUUAGAAGGAGGAAGAAGAAAACACAGCAGCGAAGAAAAGCAAACCAUGAAAGCUCUUCUCAAUCAAGAACCUUCUCUUUUCACCCCCAUCUCCACUACUUCCACCACCGCUAAGCAUCGCAGCCUCACUCAGCCUCUCACCCAAACACUCCUCAACCUCCCCGCAUAUAACGGCCACCGCCUUACCGGAAGAAAACUAACCUUAACCACCAAAUCCGUGUUGGAGUCCGUCACCGUAAAAAAUUCAAACAUCCCGGAAUACGAUACCCGAAACCCGACGAUUUCAUCUUCGUUUCGGAGGUCCGGUAUUCCGAAGCCGAAUCAGACGGUGCUGGACGCUCAGACUAGGGUUUGCACGGGCCCCACACAGACCAAGCCUCUCAGCGAGGAUCAGGCCUUCAAGGUGCUCGACACGAUUUACAGAUCGGUCAAGGGCGAGCUGAAGGAUGAGGAGCCGGUGUCGAAGUCGCAGCUCGGCGCGUUUUUCGCGGCUAUGUCGAUUCGCGCCAACGCUUUUCCGGAGGCGACGCAGUGGAGCGAAGGCGAGAUCCGGGCGAUGAACCAGUUCUGGCCGCUUCUGGUUCGGGCUCUUCCGGCGGACGUGGUGUUCAUCGCCGAUCCGGAGGGGUCGUUGGUGGGCGCGGGAAGCUCAAUCGGCCCCCAAUUCGUCGGGAACGGCGCGAGUGAGAUGAGAUUGGUCGGCGCCCUCCGGGAGGUCCUCGCCGGCGGCCACCUAGGAUUCGAAGAAGUCCAAGGCGUGCUGCGAGACAUUCUUCCGUUGAAAUCAGUGGAUGAUGCGACGUUGUCCGAUAGUGUGAGUGAAGCGUUGCUUUCGGCAUUGUUGAUUGGUCAGCGGAUGAACAGAGAAACGGACCGUGAGCUGAAAGCUUACUGCCUUGCAUUUGAUGAUGAGUUCGGUAAGCUCUAGUCUAAUUAAUAAUCCCAAUUAGUUUUUCUUAAUUUUUUUUUUCAGAGGAUGAAUUAUUUGCUUAAUGAUCGAUUAAUUAGGUGAUACUCCAAUUGUUGAUGUUAAAUCACUUACUCACUAUGGUGAACCUUACGAUGGUAACACGCGUUUCUUUAGAAGCACAUUGUUCGUUGCUGCGGUUCGAUCUUGUUAUUCCGAAUCUUGCUUGCUUCACGGCUUGGAUUGGAUGCCACCUAAGGUGAGCUUUCAGCUCUGCUCAACCAAUUGACCCGAUAGCAUAAACUAAUAGGGCCGGUUUGAUAAGGUUUUUGUUUUUUUAGGGAGGAGUUACUGAAGAACAGAUGCUUAAGUUUAUGGGGGCAAAUACGAGCUUAACCCCGUUGCAAGCAAAAGUACUUCUUGAGGUAUCUGAGGUUCCCAUAUAAUUCUUGCAAUGGUUACUGAUUCCUUUGGUUUUAUGUCUUUCGGGUUGUGGUUAAAUUCUUUAUCUUGUUAUUUCAGGAUGAAGACAUUGGUUUUGCCUAUAUAAGUCAACGUGAAGCCCGCCCUUCUCUGUGUGAAUCUCUAGCCAACAUUUUGGCAUGCUCUGCUUAGUAUUUACUCUAAUCGGGAUGAAACUGAUAAUAAUAUUUGUUUGAAUUCUGCAGAUAUUCAUUAGUUAAGUUGAGAGAGCAUAUUAAGAAACGUCCCCCACUGGCGACAACCGAAAAGGUUCAGCAAUUCGUGAAGGUAAGCCACAUCACUGUUUUCUUUAAUAACUUGUUCGUAAGGCUCAUCCUUUCUAUUCUUAUGGAAACCUCGACUGGCAUUUUUCUGCCGAGAAAUCUGUGUAAAAUUUAGAAACUACACAAAAUAGUGUGCAUUUAGAAUACUUCUUUACCUACCGUGCAAUUGAUUUAUCUACUUUAAAUUCUGAAAAUUUAGCAGGCAUCAGCAAAUAACCGAAUUUACUCUUGCAAUACCUCCAAUCGAAUUAUUGAUCAAAGUGAUUAGUACCCUAGCAUCGUUAUACAAAUUUGGGGUGCACCAUACAGAAAUAUGAAAAAUCUAUUGCUUUCUCAACAGGCCCGGGGGAAGGAAGCUAUUGUUGCUGGGUUUUAUCAUGAAGGUUUUGAGGAGCCGCUCUUAAUGCUUAUGAAAAGAAGAGGUGUCAAUGCUGGCUUGGUGGUGAAGGUUGGUACUUUGCUGAUUAUGCAGUUGAAGAGGAUGGUGCUUCAAAUACUAGAGUGUUUAAUAUUUUUAAUCAACCUUUUUGAAAUCUUAGAUAGAAGAAUUUAGAGUCUAACUUUACUAUUCUUUAAUCAGCCGAGUAAUUCAAAUAAACUACUACCGUCUAACUUUACUAUUACUGAAGGGUGAGGAAGGAGCUCUCUCAAUGACAACCAGAUUGCGGUCAGUAAAUUCAUCACAAGGACUUCCUGUAAACUACUGUUCAGGGUUUCGUUCAACAAGCUUUGCAUCCUCUUGUCAAGUUGAUGGUUUGUUCAAGUCCUUAUGUUAUUUUCUGCAUUUUCUCAAACACUUGUAAUGGUAGUUUCAAAGCUCUGCGUUAUGCAUGUAGCUGCCACAAAUGUUGAGAUUCUUGCAUAAAGUAUCCUACCAUCAAAACUGACUCGAAAGAUUGGUUUGCAGGUGUUUCACGUCAGAGCUUCAGUCUAGAGGUUAAUGCCGUAGACUAUGGCUUUGAACCCACCGACACUCCAAGAACUGAUAGAUCGGUAAUUCCUUCCAUCUUGUGGCAUGCACUCUCUCUCUCUCUCUCUCUCUCUCUCUCUCUCUCUCUCUCUCUCUCUCUCUCUCCCACAUGCGCACGCGCACCCACAUGCGUGCACACACAUACAAACACAGGUUUUUGCACUCAUUUUUUUUACAAGCCAGCGUUUUGUGACGAAUAAUUACAUUUUCUGCAACUUCAGGUUGUGAAGAAUAUAGAGUUGGGCUUAACAGCGCUUCGUGGUCAAAGGGGACCAGCUUAUGAUCGAAUAGUGUUGAAUGCUGGAAUGAUUGAUCACUUACUUGGAUGUGAUGGUGCAGAAGACAUAACCUCUGCCCUGGAUAGAGCGAGAGAGGCUAUUGACAGUGGAAAGGCUCUAAAAAAGGUCUUGAAUUACAUAAGAGUUUCAAACGAAGUGUGAGAGAGGAGGGAUGUGUUUUCGUUUUGCUCUAACUAAGAGGUAAUUGUGCUCAUUUUUCGCUUUCAUCACAAGGUUCAUCAACCUAUCAUGCAUCCACUUGAAACUUCAAUCUGAAUGUUAUACGUUGUACGUGAGUUGUGAUACACGUCGUUGUUAUCUUGUAGGUCCAAGGAAGGCUACUUCAAAAAUGUAUGUGUGGCGGCUAAAUUGUUACAUAAUUUUGAUUUGUCAUUUGAGUUGUAAAUGUUUUUGUGUGUUCAUCACGUGCAACUAUCAAAAGCUUGACAGGUGUGCAUAUAUCAAAAGCUUGGUGCGCAUGUGCCAUGUAAAUCUUUCUCGUUUGAUUCGACUUGUAAAGCAAAGAAUGAACUGAUCGGGUAACUGCAACAUAAACCUUUUUUUUAAUUAAUUAAUUUGAGUAAAACGAAUUACUUUUGACUUGUAACCGCAGAACGAACCAGCAUUUUUAAGAAAGAUAAAUAAAUAGCAAAAGCUUUUGUUUGUUUUGCACGUAAAUAUAAGACAUACAUAUAAUAUUGUAUGGAUAGACUUUUUGUUUCUGGUCAAAGAGGCUUGUAUAAAUGAAAGUAUAUAAUGUUUUUUGUCAGAUAUUGUUCAUGUUUAAUUUUAAAUAAAAGUAUUUAAAAUGAUUUUUAAACGUACGAUAUACGAUAAACAGACACGAUUUGAAGAUUUCCAGGAUUCUCAUUUUGAAAUGAAAUGUGGACAAUCAAAAUCAAAAGACUAAAAAUUAUUGACUGGGCAAAAUUGGCAUGAAUAAUCCUUGAAAAAGUUAGAAAACUGAUUCGGAUCGCUGAAUUACACUACGAAAAUCCACAACUUGAAGAAAGUGUACGCAAGAACCACUUUGUACAUUAUCAACGGUUAUUCGCGCUUGCCCUAUUCCUAGAGCUACAUUAUGGCUGACUGACUGAAGUUGGGUUUUAUUGUUAUCCAAGUUCUAAAGCCGGCCAUCAUAUCUCUUAAACAAAGUGAAAAAUUCUUCGCCGCACCCGGAUUCUCAAGUGCUAACUUUUCUCUAUGCCUGACGACUCCUCUAUAAUCCAUUCAACCCCUUUAUUGGAAGAAAGGGUGGGGCAAAAACAUAGCAAAAACCAAAGAGGACACUUUCUAUCUAGUGCUCAUACCUUACUCUUACAUUUGAAGAGUAGUCGCUAUGGAACCAGCAAGGCUAAGAACUUCAAAUGGCGGGUUGUUCUUCACAUCUUUCACUGUCACUGGACACGAGUCCGUAAUCCAGAAGUAGGUCAGCCCGUGCUCCGGGUGCCCUGGUUGGAAAAACAAGGAAGGAAUGCACAAAGGAAUUAGAAAUUGUACUCGGAGAGUCUUGAACAAGUUAGCACCAAAUUGUAAUAAGUAGACCAUGUAAUACCUCCAUAAUCACUUUGAAAGCGUUCCCAUGAUCGAUUAGGAAAGAUCCCAUGUGUUACAUACGCGCUGAUUUUUGCUGCUCCAUGGGCGGCUAAAACUUUCUAAAACAAGAUGAAAACGUAAUAUGGCAUUUCAGAUUAACUUGUGAACAAAUGGAAGGACUCUUUUUCCUCUGUGAAAAUGAAACUAAAGCAGGAAUAUAAUGUGGCAAGAAAUGCAGCAUAAGUCAAAUGUCCAUCUACGGGCCAAGUAGUUAAGUUCAAGUCCCAACCUACGGACAAGUUUAAAACUUUCCCAUGCCGAAUAGCCGUAUUUUAUCUGAAUUACAUUGUUCAUUGUGUUACGGCCAAUAUUAUAGAGUUGACAGCAAAUAAGAAGUUCGCUCAGGAUCUGGAUACCUGGCAUUCGAUCAAGGUACCACCAGACUGAACCAAAUCAUCAACGAUCACAACAUGUCGUCCUCUAGGGUCUCCUUCCUUAAUACGUACAAUUCGUUGGUCACCUUCCCGAACUUUAGCACAGACAAUCUGCAUUCAACUCUUUAAAGGUUAGGCAGUCUGCAAGAAACAUAGUUAAAGCAAGCCGUCAUGCAGCAAAUGUAAGGCUCGUGAAAGUGUCAGUGAAGGAGAUCGCACAACAUUAGUUGAAAAAAAAACACUGUUUAGCUGUGCCUUUUACACAAGACUAUAGAUGGAUAUCUAUGAGGUGUAUUGCACAGGCAUCAAUAGUCAGAUCCUUAAAGUCAAAACAAUCAGAACAAACGUGACGAAAAUAAUGCAAUUAUCAUAAUUAUGCUGUUUUAAUGAAUACUCUUAGAUGAUAUUUUGAUGACUCUUAGAAUUAGACACAAAAACAUGCACAGGUAACAGAUCCUCCUUGUUACUAGGGAGAAUAAAACAUAUCAUACCGUAGGGAAAUGAUGUAGCUGCUUAUGAAAUCGUUUCCACGCACCAUCAUCAGGAAAAGCAAUGGAUAUCUAAAUUGGGAAGAUAAUCAGCAUACAAUGUCAGAAAUAAUUUUUUUAAUGAAUAAUUACUCCUUAUCAACAUCUAAACUCCUAGGACUCAACAGACAGGGGAGGAGAAAACAGUUUACAUUGUCGGAAUCAGGGAGCUGCUGGAGCCUAUUUUUGAGCAAAGGGAUCCCGCUCUCAAAGCAUGGUAAGAUAUUAUCACCAAAGUAAAACCGCUCCUAAACACGCAACAAACAACCAAAACAACAAGGUCAGAUAAUCGUUGCACAUUGCUCAUCUUAGGGCUGGUUUGGUAUCGUUGCGCUUUGGAAAAACACAUUUUUGAGCUCAGUUUUUCUUAUACCCACUUUUUAUAAAAGAACCUCAGUACCAAACCAGUACUAAGAGCUUAGAGAAGGCAAAUUUGUUUACUAAAUGUGGUAUAGAAAAACCUGCAAGGCAUGGAUAUCAUAGAUAACUAAACUAGUAGGCCCACCCAUCGAAAUGGGAAUGUUUGACAAGGCCCUGGCAAGCGUGAAAGCGGUGGCGACAUCUCCCUCAUCCUCCAUACGCUCCGAAGUCCCCGUCGGAAAAAAUGGAAGCACCAGAGUGAAUGAGGAGAUGAACAACUUGGGCAAUGCAUAAAUCACAGAGAGCUGCUCAAAAAUCACCGACGGGGAGCUAAACGAGGCGAGAAACGCCACAUGUUGCCCUCGAAUUCCAUGAGCAUUGGGUAUGAAAAUGUUGGGAAACCCAUCAUCAAAUUUCCUAAAAGAAUCCAAAUUUACAAAAAUUGAAGCACAACAGAGCCAAAUUCCACAAAUUAAAAAUUAAAAUUUUCGAGGCAAAUGCCCAAUUGCCACGCUUGCAGUCGGACCUCUCACCUCCAAGUAAUGCUGCGGAGCUCGAUGGAGUCGGACUGGGCAGCGACAUUCUCGGCGAGGGCUUUGGUCUCGGCGCAGUAGAAGAGGCAGACCUUCUUCGCCUUCUUCACCGCCGAAUCGGAAGCCAUUGACAAUUGGGGUUCGGAAGCGGCGCGGAAGACGUGAACCGGAGAGUCCGGCUCGAUGGUCAGGUUGUGGCCGAAGCUCUUGAUCUCGCACCUGAUGAUGUUGCUGCCGUUCUGCUUCUUCUUCCUAAAGUUGGAGGCUUUGAUGUGGAAAGCGGCGGAGGAGGGAUCGGGAGAUUUGGGCGCGGGUGGGAAGUUAGGUUUUUGGAAGGAUGGCGGAAGAGGUCGAGUGGCCGCCAUGUGGCGGCAGUGGUGUGCUAGUAGAGCGCCGAGCUGCUCGGUGCUCUGUCUGCGUGGCGGCUUUGGUUGGUCACCGGUGUACGGCUAUAGUUUUAAAUGUCCGAAAAUGCCCAUUUCUGUACGACGUCGUCGAGCAAAAUAUUUGCUUUUUAUUCAAUUUUUUAACUUGUUUUAGAUCUAUCUAAUUUUCUUUAUUUUGUUGUUGUUGGAUUUAGACUUAAUUACAAAAUCUUGAUUGGAAAAGAAAAUAACUCAUACAUUGAUUGAGAAGAAGUUGAUGGUGGAAGGGGAUUCUAAACUUGUCAUUCACGUGAUGCAAGAUGUUUGGAUGCCUUCUUGGAAUCUUAGACCUAUCAUAGAAGAUAUCAAAUGGUUGUCUUCUGAAUUUCAGCAUAUCAGUUGGAAGUAUAUUUAUAAGAAUGCUAAUUUUAUAGUAGACGCAUUAACUCAUGUGAGCCUCGCUAUUGCCAACCCACAUUUUUGGGAUUUUUAUCUUCCAACUUUGGCUAUAGAGGUUUUUAAUUUUGAUUGUAUAGGAAACAGUUAUAUUAGAGGUUUUAAGUUUUAAUAAAUUUAUUCUUUGUCAAUAAAAAAUUACAUUGAUUGAAAAACUGCUUUUAUUGGCCUAACCAUUGAAUUAAGUUUACCCAAUUAAAUACAUUAAUAUAUAUUAUUCAAAUUUUACGGGUAAUUUUCUUUAAGUUUGGUGAUAAAAUUCAUGGGGAAAGUUGAAUUUUAGACUUGAGCUUCAAUUGAUGAUGAGUUCGAGAACAACCACUUAAUCAAAAUUGAACCAAAUCAAUUAUUUUGUUCAAUUCAAUUUUCAAUUUGAAAUGUUACCUUAAUUUUCUAAAGUUAGAAUUUAGAAGCUCAAGAACAAGAGUAACUGCAGUUACGGACUAUAACUACGAGCAAAUCUCAAACUAAAGCGAUUUUAUUUAAUGUCUCGACAAGAGAACUAAAUUUAAAUUUUAUAAAUAACGAGCUUAAUAUUAAUUUAUUUCUUUCUCUUUUUUAUACAUUUGUUGUCUAAAUUUUUUUUUUAAAUUUGUAUAAAAUUACGCAACGUGCAAAUUAUAAUAAAAAACUAAACCGGCUUUGGCUUUAACCCCACUCUCCACAUAUAACAAACCAAGAGCCAGAAACAUGACUUACAGUCCGAAGCGUGCCAUGGCGGAGCUCAGGCACUCCAUCUCGGUGGGGGCUCGAGCCACUUCUUCUCCAAUGAAGCGCGACGAGGACUCCUCCCCUCUGAUAUUCGACACUCAGCCCCAAGACGACGACGACGGCCGCGGUCGCCCUCCCUACAAAGAUCGCGACCGUCCCUUCCUCUCCCAUUUCCAAUCCAUCUGCCCCUCAAUUGCCGACGACUCCAACAGCUCCAGGAUCUCACUCUUCGUCGUCAUCGUCGUCGCAGUCUUCUGCCUGGUCUCGAUUCUGGCGAUCGUGAAACGAGUGGUAUGGCUUUUUGGUGCUUUUUCUGUUCGGAUUUCUGGUGUUUGGCAAUUGGGAUAAGAUAGUCUUGCUUAGAGCUGUGCAAAUCGAUGUUUUUCAAUUGGUUUGUUUGGCUUUGUGUUGCAGAAUACUCCUUACUUGUGUAAAAAAGAUGGCAUUACUCUUCACUGUCCUCAUGUAAGUUGGGGAAAGCUGUUUGCUUGGUCAAUGUUAGAAUUUCGGUGAUGUAAUUGUGAGAUUUUUUAAUGUAAAUUUACUUUUCUAGGUCAAGGAAUCGCCUUCGCUUUGGGAGAAUCCGUAUUCAGCAACCACGUCUUGGAAGUCCUGUGCCGAGCGCCGCCUUGGUGGCAUUUCAGGUGAGCUGAGCUCUUGUUUUUGUUGUUGACGUGUUGCACUAGAUCUAUGAUCUUCUUUAUUACUAUGUCUAGUUCCACCUUUCUAAAUUAUAAUCUUUCCGGCAUUGUGCAGAUCUUCCACCUGAAAACGAAACAACUGGGUACAUAUUUAUUCAUGCUGAGGGUGGCCUAAAUCAGCAAAGAAUUGCAGUAUGUUCUACUCGGUCUUAUUGUUUAUCUGUUCAAGAAAUCUUUAUUUCCUCUAAUUUGUGCACAUUGUAAGAAUGAAGUGAAAGAGUAACUUAGAGAAGAUGUAAGACAAAAAUUUCACUUUUUCAAGAAGGUUCUAGAAUUGCACCGAGAAGAGCUCCUACAGAUUGGUUGCAAUGUUAAAUGGUGGCUGUCACAGUUAAUCUGUUACAACGACCAUAAUAUGUUUUUGUGCUUGGUGUCCAGCUGGGGAUGGCUGUCUGAAGGCAACAGCUUGUCUGCCGGUGCGGCACUGCGGUUGAUUUGUUUGUUUGUUAGCUUGUCUCUCUUUCAAUGGCUUUAAGCUCAUUACUUUUUCUCUGCUGUUGUCUUCGUCAUAAGAGCUUGACUGAUCUUUUAUAUGACCUUGUAGCUUGGCUGAAUUUCUCUGUUCAAAUAUAAAAUUGUUCACUUAGCUACUUUUUCAACCCCUUAUUUUCCAUUGCUUUUCCAUGGUUUACAGAAAGCAAUUUUCCAUUGGAUUAUAAUGGUUGCGCUAGUCUGCUUGCUUAUUUGCAUAUUAGUUUGAGAUAUGGUUCUGUAAGUUUAGCCGGAUGAUUCUGCCUUAUUGUUGUAUGUGAACUGUCAUGUGUAUGUUUUCCAUGCAGAUAUGCAAUGCAGUAGCUGUAGCCAAAAUAAUGAAUGCCACCCUUAUUUUGCCUGUGCUGAAGCAGGACCAGAUUUGGAAAGACCAAACGUGAGAUUUUGCCUCUAUUUUUAUAAGUACUGUCAUAUUAGUGUAAAGUCAUAAAAACAGUAUAUAACUAUAUACACAAUUAAAUAACAGGAAAAUACCAUUUUGAUGUUAAUGGUCUCUGUUACAGAUCUUGAAAAACUAAUCUUUUUGCUUUCAUGCUUUUAAAGAUCUUUUGAAAGUAUCCCUAUUUGAAAUUGCUUCAUAAGAUCUUGUUUUGGGAUCUCUUAUGCUUGCAAUUCUUGAUUUGAGUAUUACAACUUCUGCAGGAAAUUUGAAGAUAUCUUUGAUGUUGACCAUUUCAUUGAUUACCUGAAGGAUGAUGUACGAAUUGUUCGUGAUAUUCCUGAGUGGUUUACUGACAAAGCUGAGCUAUUUACAAGUAUAAGGUUAAGCUCUCUCUCUCUCUCUCCCCCCAAUUUGUAUAGAUUUUUCUCUGCAACUCGCACUGAUAUGUAAAUUUUUUUCUUUAGACGAACAGUAAAGAACAUUCCAAAAUAUGCACCUGCUCAAUUUUACAUAGACAAUGUUCUGCCGCGAAUCAAGGAGAAGAAGAUAAUGGCCCUAAAACCUUUUGUCGAUCGACUCGGGUAAGUUGGGAAUUCUUAUACAGGUGCUGUCCAAAGCUCACAAGUCACACUCUUGUAGAAAGAAAAGGACUGAAAGUUUCUUUUAUCUUUAAAAAAUGUAAGUGUUUAUAUCUGUUAGAAAUCAAGAAUGUAUAACAAGUUAAUAAUAUCAUACCUCUCUGGUUUCAGGUACGACAAUGUCCCUCAAGAAAUCAACAGGCUAAGGUGCAGGGUGAAUUAUCAUGCUCUUAAAUUUCUACCUGAGAUAGAGGAGAUGGCUGAUUUAUUGGCGUCAAGGAUGAGAAAUCGCACUGGAGGUUCCAAUCCUUAUAUGUAUGUAACAUUGUACUUAAAUCCAUUCAAAUUUCUGGUAAUUGUACCUUAACUUCACUAACAAUUCUACACUUGCAGGGCUCUUCAUCUUAGGUUUGAGAAAGGGAUGGUAGGCCUAUCUUUCUGUGAUUUUGUGGGCACAAGGGAAGAGAAAGCUCUAAUGGCAGAAUACAGACAUAAAGAAUGGCCAAGACGGUACAAGGUAAAUAACAUACCUAGGUCAACUUUAUGGAGUCAGAACUUUGAAAGAAUAUCAGUCUUAUUGUGUUUCUUUUUCUUUUGAUGGUGAUUUUGGUAUGCAGAAUGGUACCCAUCUAUGGCAACUAGCCCUGCAGAAGCGAAAGGAAGGGCGAUGCCCCCUUGAGCCUGGGGAAGUGGCUGUCAUUCUUCGAGCAAUGGGCUAUCCUAAGGAAACUCAAAUUUAUGUUGCUUCAGGACAGGUUUAUGGUGGCCACAACAGGAUGGCGCCGUUGAGGAACAUGUUCCCAAAUCUGGUAUGAACUUCUAAUUUAUUCUACCAUAGCACUACUGACUGAACUUGUCUGGUGAAGACAGCCCAUUAGUUUUGAAGUGUUAGUAAGUCAGAUCUAAAAGAUUAUACCCCUUCCGUUAUUAAGAAUAUCUUACUUGGAUGACUAGUUGAAUUCAGAAAAUGGGGUUCGGUAUAAUUCUAGCUGGGGUUACUUCGUAUAAAUAUGUAAUCUUUUAAAAGCGGAAACUUAGGGGACAUGCGGAAACUUCUUCACUUGAAAUCCUUCUUUUCCCCCCUCUUGAUUGAUAUGCUCAUUUUACUAUUCAUAAAAGGUAACGAAAGAGGAGUUGGCGGCUAAGCAGGAGUUGGAUAAAUUCAGGAAGCAUGUGACUAGCUUGGCAGCGCUUGACUUCCUGGUAUGCUUGAAGUCUGAUGUAUUCGUGAUGACCCACGGAGGCAACUUUGCUAAGCUGAUCAUAGGGGCACGCCGGUACAUGGGUCAUCGUCAAAAAUCAAUAAAACCAGACAAGGGGCUGAUGUCUAAAUCUUUUGGGGACCCUUACAUGGGAUGGGCCACCUUUGCAGACGAUGUAGUGACUACCCACGAAACACGAACUGGAUUACCAGAAGCGACCUUCCCUAACUAUGACUUGUGGGAGAACCCUCUAACUCCUUGCAUGUGUAAAGCUUGAACAAAAUAUAAGGUUGGCAAACCGAAUACACUUGAUUAUUCCAAGAGCCCGGAGAUUGUAUACCUGUGAAAUGAAAUCGCGAACUUCUCCCCGAAAGGUUUGAAAGAAUGUUGCACUAUGUGAUGAAGAAAAUUGAGGGAAAACCAGGGCAUGCAUCAAACUCAUUUGCGGUUGUGUCAAGAAUGUCAAAUAGUUUUGCCUGUAUCAUUAUCAGAACUGUGUAAAUUAUUAGAGAAAUGUGAAAGAUGUUUUUCAGGCAGUGAACGCUGCUUGAAUCACUCCAUGCUGAUUUUUGUGAUCCAUUAUUUUAGCACCUAGCAGCCUAGUCCAUGGUGUUUAGUUUAUUUUAAUACUUUGUUAAUCGAAAUUUUAUCUUACUGCUCUUUAUUUAUAGAAGUUAAAUGUAAAACUUUCACCAAAAUGGCUAAGACCUCUUCUGUAAGUCCUUAAAGAGGCUUAUAUUAUGCCUUGGUCCUCGGAUGGAGUAGCCUUUCCAUUUCCUAAACUUUUUUGUACCGAGAAAAGUAGGAAUAUCAUUAAAUCGUAAUUAUCAUGAAAUUGUAAAAAAAGAAAUAAAUUACCCAAAAAUUAGGAUCAAAUGAAGGUCCACGCAGAUGUGUAUUUAUGCAAGGAGAAAUUCGUGCCUUGUUAGAUGGGGUUGUUAAGAGUGGCCCAUAUUUUGUUUUAUGGCUUAAAUCCAAAUCUAAGAUUUUGAAAAUAGUGGUAAUAUGAAAUGUGAUAAAAUCAGAAAUAAGAUCACCUAAACUUGUUUAAUACGAUCAAAACCAUAUAUAUGUUUUAAAUAAGAUAACCAUAUAUGUGCUUUAAAUAAGAAUGAAUUUAUGUAUACUCAAGUUUCGUCUUUGAACACCCUUGUUUCUCUGGAUAUGUGUGAUCAUGAAUAAAAAACAUUCAAUAAUCAAUUUCAUUUUUGGGUGGAAAUUAUGCUUACAGUCUUGGCAUGAGUAUGAACUUUUUUUUUUCUCAAAUAAAGUGAUAUUUUGCACUAAAAGUGUGAGAAGUAUUUGAACUUGAGAUAUACAACUGUCACAUCCCAGCCCGAGGUCAAUCACAUCCCAGGCACACUCUACCACCGUAGCACGAUAUUGUCCGUUUUGGUCCCCGACUACGCCCUCACAGUUUUGUUUCUGGGAACUCACAUGAGAACUUCCCAAUGGGUCACCCAUCAUAGGAUUGCUCUUGCGCACUACUCACUUAACUUCGAAGUUCCGAUGGAACCCGAAGCCAGGGAGCUACCAAAAAGCCUCAUGCUAGAUAGGGAUGAGAAUAUACAUAUAAGGAUCACUCCCCUGGGAGAUGUGGAAUCUUACAAUCCACCCCCCUUAAGGGGCCCGAUGACAUCGUCGGCACACCAUGGCCAGGGUUAGGCUCUUAUAACAAUUUGUCACAUCCCGGCCCGGGGUCCACCACAUCCCGGGCCCGCUCUACCACCGUAGCACGAUAUUGUCCGCUUUGGGCCCUGACUACGCCCUCACGGUUUUGUUUCUGGAAACUCACACAAGAACUUCCCAGUGGGUCACCCAUCAUGGGAUUGCUCUCGCACGCUACUCGCUUAACUUCGACGUUCUGAUGGAACCCGAAGCCAGUGAGCGCAACAUGGGAUCUUGCACAACUCUUUAGGAAGUGCAUUUAAAAUAAUUAAAAGCGUUUUUGGUGAAAAUAUUUUUGAAAACCAAUAUUUGGUAAAAAUUGAAAUAGAUUAUGCACACUUUAAGUGCUUCCUGUAAGAAACACAUAUAUGAUGUUUCCUUCUAAAAGCAAUUAAAGUGCUUUUGUAACUCAAAAUCAAUUUCAUAAAAAAUAUUAUUAAUUAUUUUAAAAAUACUUUCAAACAAGUAUGUAAUAAUCGUGCUAAAAUACUAGAGAAUCUAUAACUGUCGAACGAGAAGAAUCAAUUUAACUCCUUUCAGUUAGAUGGGAACAACUUUGAUAAAUAUUGAUAACUCUUAGAUGGAGUAUUAGAACAAAAAAAAAUCUAUUAGAUAAUGAAUUAUUGAUUCUAAGCCAUCUCAAAAAGGCAGAAUUAAAGACAAAAACAGUGGCCGACAUUCAAUUUGUAAACGAUCAGAAUUUUGGAACUAAAGAACCCCGUCAAAAUAUUUGGAAUUUGGCACUUGGCUUUGACCAACAUCGUCAGAUAAAAUCGAACAUUCAUAUCAGUAAAAGUACAUAUUUCCCACGUCAGCGCCAAGCGAGGCACAACAAACAAAAUUCCAUAAAAAAUAUAUAUAUUUUUUAAUCUUUUUCUUCAUCCCAGAUGAAUUUUUGUAAAGGAAAACUAACAAAAAUAAUUUGAAAAUUUUGAGUUUUAACGAUAAAGAUAAAAUAAAUGGUAAAAUGAACAAUAUCAUGAUUGAUUUUUUAAUGUAAAACUGUGAAUUUUUAUUAAAAUAAAUAGUACCUAGAACUUUUCGUUAAAAUUCUUUUUUUAUAAUUGUAAGUAUCAGCUAUUCAAACAGUACUUAAUGUAUAACUUUUUAGUAUAAAAUUGUAAAUUUUUUAUUAAAAUGAACAGUACCUAGAAUUUUUCGUUAAAAUUCUUUUUUUUAUAAUUGUAAGUAUCAGCUAUUCAAACGGUACUUCAUAUAUUUCAUAUAUAACUAUAUAAAUAAAAAAUUUGAUAUAUUUUUUUUUCGUAUAUAUUCAUGUAUUAUGACAUGUAGAAUUUCAACGCUAAAAAAUUUCUGUUCUUUUAAAUAGCAUUUCGUCAUUUCCUCACGGAGACCACAAAGUGGUUAUGAAGUAGAUUGCCUCCCCCAAGAAGGAUCAAGGCUGUAACAUGUCGGUGUCAUACCUAACUCCAUUGCCGCCUGUUUGAUUCCGUCGUCUGAAUUCCAGUCUGGUCUGGUCGGAAUCGAAUUCCCAGUGCUUGAGUCAAAGCUUCAGCCUUGAGCCAUGAAUGUCUGCUUGUUCCUCUUCACCUCUCUCUGCUUCUUACUCGGUCUGUUCACCCAGAGGUAAAAACCCACUUUUACUUUUUACCAUUUCAUCAUCUUCUGUUCUUCACUUGCUCGGUGUUUCCUGUUGAUGAUAAGCAUGAUCAUCUACUCGACAACCCAGAAUUUGUUUCAGUGUUUCUGCGAGAUUCCAUUUCGGAAUUGUUAAUUGCAACUUGCCCACUCAUUUAUUAGUAUUUGCAUUUGUGGCAUUAUUCUUUUGGGUUUCUGAGCUCAAAUUUACUAAUCUGAAAAUUUGUGUGUAACUGAGGAAUGUUGUGUGUUGGAUUAAAUGCUAUCACUAUUAUUUUGUUUUUUCCUUGUUUACUUUGGUUUUUUUUUUUCUGUUGCUAAUUUGUUUUAUUUGAUGAUCUCAAUGUUUCUGGUUUUGUGAUGCAAAUCGUGGUUGCAAAUGUAUGCUGAUUUCAGGGUGUCAUCACAAGAUCGCGCCAGCACCCCGCCGAGAGGUUGGAACUCGUAUGACUCGUUUAUCUGGACUAUUUCAGAGGAAGAAUUCUCCCAAAAUGCCAAAAUUAUGGCAAAGCAGCUCCUUCCUCAUGGAUAUGAGGUGUUUGAUGGAAUACGAUAAGAAUUUGGUUUUUUUGUUUCUUUUUUCGCAUUCAUUUGUACGUGUGAGAGUGGUUUUAUGCAUCUUUGUAUUUUCACUUCAAUGCAGUAUGCUGUGGUGGAUUACCUGUGGUAUAGGAGAAAAGUUCCAGGUGCUUAUGUUGAUUCUCUUGGGUUUGAUGUGAUCGAUGAGUGGGGGAGGCCGAUACCUGAUCCAGAUAGGUGGCCUUCGUCGAGAGGUGGGAAAGGGUUCGCUGAAGUGGCAGCAAAAGUACAUAGCCUCGGUUUGAAAUUCGGGAUUCAUGUCAUGAGAGGAAUAAGUACACAGGCAGUAAAUGCGAGUACCUUGAUCUUGGACACCAACACGGUAAUACUACUUAAUCACACCAACAAAGAUUCUGAAAAAGUACAUAGCCUCUCAUUUUUGUAGUGAUUAUAUUUUACAUAAGUUUGGAGGAUGCAUCAAAUAAUGUACUAGUUUAUCGUUAACAAAGAUUCAGAAAGCACACACAUAUGUAAUUCAUUUUUAUCUUUGAAAACAUAAGUGGUGCAAUGGGGGAAAUUGAAGUCUUGGUCUCAGUGCUUUAGUUUUCAUUCUCGUCUUUUAUCAGGGGUCUGCUUACAAAGAGGCUGGAAGAAAUUGGACUGCAAAAGAUAUAGGGAUCAAGGAGAGGACUUGUGCAUGGAUGCACAAUGGUUUCAUGAGUGUGAAUACCAAGUUGGGCGCUGGAAAGGCCUUCUUGAGGUCACUCUAUAAACAGUAUGCUGAAUGGGGUGUUGAUUUUGGUAAUUAACAAAAGUUCCCGUAUUUUGUUCAAUAUUAAGAUUGCGUCAGUUAUGGAUGACGACGUAAAGCAUCAGGAUACUCCUCUGAUAUUAUUUAUCUCUUGCUAACUCUGUCAUUGGUUGCUUCUUUUACCCACCCCCCGCAGUGAAAAAUGACUGCGUGUUUGGUGAAGACUUAGACGUACCCGAAAUAACCUACAUUUCAGACGUAACUCUCUCGCUCUCUCUCUCUCUCUCUCACACACACACACACACACACACACACAAAACAUGCAUCUUCAUCAAUAUUGUGAUGGAGAGUGGGUGCUUAACAAAUAAUGCAUACUUCUCCAGAUUCUGAAGCAACUUGACCGUCCUAUAUUGUAUUCUCUAUCUCCUGGAACCAGAGUAACACCUGAUAUGGCCAAGGCUAUAAGUGGAAUGGUCAACAUGUACCGUAUAACUGGGGAUGAUUGGGAUUCAUGGGGAGAUGUUCUAGCCCAUUUUGAUGUCACCAGGUGAUUGACUUGUUUUUCAGUACAAGGUUUCGUUCAGAUUAACUUUCGCAUAUUCUUUGUUUUUCGUGUGUGCUGAACACAAUAAAUUCCGUACCAGGGAUUUUGCUGCUGCUGAUAUGAUAGGAGCCAAAGGCUUGCUGGGGAAGUCAUGGCCGGACUUAGAUAUGCUUCCGUUGGGAUGGCUUAGUGAUCCAGGUCAGAGGACUUAGCAUUUUUAUUUCCUUUAUAUGGCAAUGAAUAUUUUCCUUUCAAGAUUCUAAGAUAGAUGACUGAGCUCUAUUGACGCUUGCCUGAUGUGCUUGGUUUCAUACUGAUGGGUUGUCAUCGCACUGCAUUUGAGUGUGAAAACGAUCAAGUUCAAUAUCUAGGACCAACUGUAUCCAUGUCAAUUCGGCUGAGCAACUUCAACCGGAUAGUUCUAGAAUAUCAUUAUAAGGCAUUGCAGGGUUAUUUAUCUCCUCGAAAUUUACAAAAUCUGAAAUGCACUUUGAGUUUGAUAUUUGAUGAGUGGUUCUCAUAAUUUCAUUUCAUAUUUUGAAAUAUUAGGUUCAAAUGACGGUCCACACAGAUGGACUAAUCUCGGUUUAAGGGAGCAAAGAACGCAGGUACUUACAUGAGGACGAUUGAGUCUUUUAAGUCCUUUUUUAUUCGCUGAGCAAUGUUUUUGACCUUGUGCAUUUAUUUUCACAGAUGACUUUGUGGUCUAUGGCCAGGUCUCCUCUCAUGUUUGGAGGGGAUAUGAGACAGCUUAAUGAUGUCACAAUGGAACUCCUUGCAAACCCUACCGUGCUGGAGAUAAAUUCUUUUAGCUCAAAUAAUAGGGAGGUAUGUUGAAUAGACAAUUCAUAAAAUCAUAAGAAAAAAAUUUGUUCGUGGUAGCACAUAAAAUCUUAUUUUGUUGCAUUUACAGUUUUCAUACAUUACAAGUAAUGUGAGUGCAAAGGCCGUUAAGAAUGAUGAUCACGUUCACACCUGGCAAUCAAGAAGACAUCUGACAAAUGCAAAAACUACAAAUACACAUGUUCUUGGUCUCACUACCUGUGCAGAUGCAAAAGCAAUUGGUUGGUCCUCUCAAGCUCUUGACCAAGAUCGCGAACACAUCUGCUGGACGGCAAACUCAAGGGGCAAACAUCAGGCACCUUUUUGCUUAAACAAGACAGAAUCUCUCCUGGCAAUGUAAUAUUUUUUUAUCUUUCCCUGAUCUGUUUUCUCAAUUUUAUUAUGUUUACUUGCGCUGUUACAAACUUGAUAAAUCUGGUUCACUGCUGAUAUAGAGAUGAAGACAUAACGGACAAACAGCAAUAUCUGGGGAAGGUCAAUUUAUUAGCAAAUGAUGGAACGGAUCGCUGUUUGCAUGCUUCUCCUAAACAAAAGCUUACUUCGAAGGACGUUAAGAGAGGUUUCCUUUCACCUUGUAGAUGGGAUGCAAACCAGGUAUCUUCAGUCCCGAUACAUAGAUUUAAUCCAUACAGAAUUGAUAUCUUGCAUACACCAUUGAGUGUCUAAUCUGAACAAGUUGUACGGAAUGAAUUGUAUCGUGAAGGAGUGACAUUUUGAAAUGACGUAUUCGAACUUAACAGAUGUGGGAGUUGAACCCCAACGGAACCUUGGUGAAUAGUUAUUCUGGCCUCUGUGCAAGAAUUGAUUCUUUAUUUGAAGGUAACAAAUUAAAACGCGAGUGCCUUUUCGUACAUUGAUUCUGUCAGCGAGUCUUGAAAUCAUGUUUAAAUCAUGGUUUAAACUUACAAGUUGAUCACCUGUUCAGCUAAAGCCGUCACUGAUGUUGCUCGCUCUUGGAUUGCAACUGGAACAAAAGGUUUAGCAUAUUUCUCAAUUCUCAACGUAACUGGUGCAUAUUUCUCGAUUGUCAAUUCUGAUUCUGUUUGCGUUUCUGCAAUUACAGGAGAAAUAUACAUAGCGUUUUUCAAUUUGUUCAGUGAUUGGGCUACUAUAACUGCACAAAGAGCAGACAUAGUCAAAGAACUUCCAAUGACAAAAUUGGCCAGAGGUUCUUGCACGGGAUCGGAAGUAUGGACCGGACAAGACUUAGGGGUAAUAGGCGACGCAAUUUCUUUUUCGGUUAUACCGCACGGGGUUGCACUGAUUGUCCUGCACUGUAGUUAGGUGCAGGAUAAUCCAAAGCAUUUUUUAGGUGUAGUUUUGCUGCUUGUUCUUCAUGUUCUUUAUUUUUCAGCAAAUAAGAGGGAAAGGGAUGUGGCACAUGCUGUAAUAUUUAGGGGGGUGUAUUCGAUUGAGAAUUUGAGAUAAUUUAAUGGAUUUAUAAAUCCAUUGAUUUUUAUAAAGUUUAAUUGAUUUGUAGAGAUUCCAUAUAGAAUCUUAAUUCAAUUCUCUCGAAAUCUCAUGGGAAGAUAUGAGAUUUGUGGAUGCUUAAAAUAUACUACAAAAUCUCUCAAAUUCCCUUUAAUUCCUCAACUUUUUCAAAUUCUUUAAAAUCAAUUUCUAAUUGAAUACACCUGGAAUGUUAUAAAUUUCUUUAAAAUCCUAAUUGAAUGCAUCCGGAUUUCUAAGGAUUUUAAUAAACUAUAUUAAAAUUCUAAUUGAGUACACUUUGAAUUUCAAAAAAUCACUUAAAAUUUUGAUUGAAUACCCCUAAAUUCAUUAAAAUAAUUAAAAUCCCUCAAAAUCUCAAUUGAAAACACCCCCUUAACCUUUAAGAAUCAGUGAGAAUGAUAAUUUGGUUUAUUAUAUUUUGCACCCUCAAAUUUGGAUGGAAUUGCGAUUCCAUAGUUCAUUUGAAAUACCUGCCACUCCAAAGAAAACAAAUAUAAAGACAAAAGUGGCAAGCGAAUUUAAAUAAAUACAUAACAAUAGGCUGACUUUUUUCUUAGUUCCUGUGAUGAUAUCGCCCUUUAAAUUUGACCCAUCGUGGUUAAAAGCUAUCAAUUAAAGACUUGUGGUGAACCUUGUUCAUACUUACAGUUUAAGUUCAAACUUCCCUUAAUUUCUCUCUUCUUUGUUAGUAUAAAUGUCAAAUUUUUAAAUUGAGAAUUUUAACGAAAAACUCCUAAUAUUGUUCGCUUUAACGAAAAACCACAUUUUUACACUAAAAAGUCAAUCUUGGUACUAUUUAUUUUACCCUUUAUUUUGUCAUUAUUGUUAAAACUCAAAGUUUUCAAGCAAUUUUCAUUAGUUUUCCUUUUUAAAUUUUGGUCGUCAAACAUAAUUCAAUGAUUGUCACACCACGGAUCUGGGGUCGAUAAUAAAAACUCAAACCCGAAUCUGAAACGUAAAUAAAAGGAAAUAGAAACGGGUUGGAAAAUAAAUUUCUUCUUAUAAAAUGACUCAUGAUUCUUAACAAAUCAGGAAUUCUUUACAACCUGCAGUAAACAGAUGAGUAAACUUUCUCUACUCCAAUCUAAUUUGAUCUCAUCCUACCUACCCUCUUGAAUGUCUAGUUCGUAAGCUUGCAUAACAAUAGCGGGAUGAACUUCAACAGCUCAAUAGGGACAUAACCUUAUCAUAGUAAAUUGACAAUAUUAAAUUAAGUGUCAUGAAAUCAUAUAGCCAAAUAUCAAAUCAAUAUUGAUUCAUUAUUGAUAAUAAUGCAUGAAUGUAAUGCAACCUCUUCAGCUACCCCCAUUAAUUUAUAUAAUAAAACACGCGGACUUGCACGUCCCAUACCAUGCAUUUUACUACUGCAGAGGUGGUUCAAAUGUUCUAUUAUAGAAACUAACCCCCAUAUGAUAUCCCAAGUUCAUAAACCCCUUUUGCUAGUUAUCUUAUCUAAUUCAUUGAUCUCCAACCCAAAUAAGCCACAUCAACAAUUCCCAUCGAUAUCCUAUUCUACUGUGCACAUUGAGCUUGCUUGGAACUGGUUUCACAAUUAAUAGAGUCAACUACACAAAAGAUCAUUUCCAACUACCCUCAUUUCCCGAAUUCAAAUCUCAAUACUGAAUUUCCAACCACAUCUCAUCCUGCCUAAACCUUUUGUUGAGGCACAAAACCAGAGGUCUUGGAACAACAUAAAUCCGACCGUGAAUCUGCAGAAAAUGUAAAUAACACAAGAUGUAUCGUGGUUCACCCCAAUGUUUGGGCUACGUCCACACUAAUAUUGUAUUUCUCUGAGAGGAUUAUGAAGGAGAGAGGGAGCUUCUCUAUGAGGAUGAGAGCUAUGAGAGGGUGAAGGUGUGGCCUAAGAAUUGGCCUCCCUUAAUGAGGAGAGUGAGGGGUCCUUUUAUAGAAUAAGGGUUCCUCACUUAUUACAUAUUUGCCCCUACCUUUAUUACAUAAUUACAUUUGAGUCCCCCCGAGUAUUUAUACGAGAUCUAAAUACGGAGGCCCUAAGUAUGGUACAAACAGUAGUCCCCCAAGUCUUCAAUCAUGAGAGUCUUUUGGCUGGAGACUUAAAAUUCAGUCCAUGUGUGGGCCGAAAUAACUAGAUGUCGUCUAGAAUUAAUACUCGAUAUGAGACGGUGCUCAAUUUGAAAUGAUGCUCAACUAGAAGUAGCACAGGUUGCGAGGCUACUCUAUUUGUGGCUUAUGUUUCCUUGGUUGACUCGGCUUGUGGCGUUAAAGGUGAGGGAGUCCCUUUUAUAGAAUAAAGGCUCGCUUCUCAAUACAAAAAUGAUGGGCUAGAGUCGAUGCUCACGGCGAGACGGUUGCUUAGCAGGCAGCGAUGUUCUCUAAUGAUGGUGAGGGAGUCUCUUUUAUAGAAUAAGGGUUCGCUUCUCAAUACAUAAAUGAUGGGCUAGGAGUGAUGCUUGCGGCGAGGCGGUUGCUUAGCAGGCGGCGAUGCUCUCUAAUGAAGGUGAGGGAAUCCCUUUUAUAAAAUAAGGGAUCGCUCCUCAGUACAUGAAUAAUGGGUUAGGAGUGAUGCUCGCGGCGAGGAGGUUGCUCAGUAGGCGAUGGUGCUCUCUAAUGAUGGUGAGGGAGUCCCUUUUAUAAAAUAAGGGCUCGCUCCUCGGUACAUGAAUAAUGGGUUAGGAGUGAUGCUCGUGGCGAGGUGGUUGCUCAGCAAGCAGCGAUGCUCUCUAAUGAUGAUGAGGGAGUCCCUUUUAAAAAAUAAGGGCUCGCUCCUCAAUACAUAAGUGAUGGGCUAAGUCCCCCAAGUAUUUCUCAUGAAGCCCAGUUGAGGCUCAAUAUAUGGUACAUAAUCUAGUCCCUCAAAUCUUCGGUCAAUAGAGUCUGUUGGCUGGAGACUUCAAAUUGAAUCCAUGUAUGGGCCGAAGUGGCGGUUGUUCGGAUGUGAUAUUUGUAUACCCUGCACUGAAGCUUUGUAGGUGAAGCUUUGCAAGUGAAGCUUUAAAGCUGGAGCUUUUGUAAAUGAAGUUUUUGAAGCUGGAGCUCUGUAAAUGAAGCUUUUGAAGGUAGAGCUUUUAUAAAUGAAUUUUUUGAAGCUAGAGCUCUGUAAAUGAAGUUUUUGAAGCUAGAGCUCUGUAAAUGAAGCUUUUGAAGCUAGAGCUUUUGUAAAUGAAGCUUUCGAAGCUAGAGCUCUGUAAAUGAAGCUUUUGAAGCUGAUUGACAUAAGUGAUGCUCAUGAAUGUUUAUGUUGAUUGACAUGAGUGAUGCUCAUGGAUGUUGACAUGAGUGAUGCUCAUGAAUGUUGACAUGAGUGAUGCUUAUGAAUGUUGACAUGAAUGAUGGUUAUGAAUGUUUAUGUAUGAUUGAUAUGAGUGAUGCUCAUGAAUGUUUAUGUAUGAUUGACAUGAGUGAUGCUCAUAUAUAAUUUUGGAGUACUAGACGUACUUUUGAUCACCUAGUGGGUAAUAAUAGCGGCAGGCAGCCGAAUAAUUUUUUGUAGUACUGGGCGUACUUUUGAUCAUCUGAUUGGUGAUAAUAGAGGGCCUCGCUCUUUUGGGCAUAUGGGCUUUCGCCCUCCACAUAACAUUCCAACCCAUUAUUUUGGGUUUUUUUUUUACUAUUACCCUCUGAUAGGGUUUAUACAGAUGUCUCCGAAAGAUAAGAAAAAUAAAUUACAUCAUUAAAAAAUAAAGUCGACCAUCUGCUCAAUGGGUCACGCCUAUAAUUCCCUCUUCUGCAUGUUAUCCUCACCACAAUUAUGUCUUUUUCUUUUUCUAUUCUUUUCCUCCUUCUUUUUCUUUUUCUUUAACAUCAUGGUGUCGUCUGUGAGGAGUGGGAACAUGCAUGAUGAAAGUUGGUGGGCAUCUUUUGCGCUGUCAUCGUGCCAAGUUGAUUCCCUUAAUCAACUUGGAGCUUGGGCUGAUGUGCAUUAGUGGAUAGCUAUACUUUCAGCUUUUUCUUGUUUUUUUCUUCUUUCUGCAAUUAUCUUAGUGGGUGGGGUUUUUGUUUGGAGCAUAAUCUUACCCCCGAACACAUCAUUGAUCAAUUUGCUCAUGUUGUUCGCCACCCGGUCCACCUGCAAAGUAGGCCAUCGGGUCCACCUACAAUAUUCGCCAACCUGAAACUUACCACGAUCAUCCUCGCUGUGUGGAGUUUCAGAUCGAAACUCUGUAAUUCGUGAUGUCGUGGUAGAACAAGACCGCCCUCAACAAGGUCGACGAGCUUGUUGACAUUAGUCUGUAGUUUCUUGAUGGCAGAGCCAUCCUUGUUGAACUACAAUUCCUUGGCCAUGGUACAGAUUCUGGGAGACCGUGUCCUCCUUAAAGCCACAUUCUGCCUUUUAGAGACGGAAAAUGAAGAGAAUGAAGCACGAGACGACAAGUUGUCGAAUUUCCUGUCAAUGACACGGCCGCUAGGAGGUCGUCGAUCAGACAUGAGAGGACUGGAAGUCAUCGAUCCGACCUGAGAGGACCUUGGAACUCUGAACCUGAGUGGGACUGACAGCCGACGAAAAUGACUGUGUCUCCGACGGCGGUGAGGUUGAGGAAGUCCCCUGACAGAGCCCUCUCCCCCGACUUUCUGGGAUCGUGGUGCAAGUUCCUGCUCAUCAGCUUCUGUUCGUAUAUCUCUCGAGUCCCCAUCGUCGGAUUCUGACAAAAAUGCUACCAAUUUCAGAGAAAUCAACUGACGGAGGCGAUGGUAACUCAAUUGGCGGAAAUGACGGCAGCUAUGAAGGAGAUGAAUCACACGGGUUAGGCUCGGUUCGACGAGUCGGGUCAGUUUUGCCUCUGCGUUGUAGAGAGAAUGGAGAGUGGGCGUACAUAGAGAUACGCGUGGGGGAGGCGGGCUAGUCUUGAACCUUCUCGUUGCCCUCUCCGCUAAGAAUGACGCCCUGAACUGUAGCACCGUAGGCAUCACCAUCCCCACCAAGAAAGAACAAGUCUUCUCAACCUACUCCGACGACCAGCCCAGAGUCUUGAUCCAGGUGUACGAAGGAAAGAGAACCAGGAUCAGGGACAACAACUUGCUCGGAAAAUUCGAGCUCUCCGGAAUCCCGACUGCACCCAGAGGAGUACCCCAGAUCAUCGUCUGCUUCGACAUUGACGCUAACGGUAUCUUGAAUGUCUCUGCGGAGAACAAGACCACCAGACAGAUCUAUAGCUUUUGUUGGGGACUGUGAAAAGCAAAAGAUAAGCUUAGCUUGUAGCUUUGGAAAUCAUAGUGUUAGUUGGGUUGAAAUCCCUGUGAAAUCGCUUUUGUUGCAGAGUCUUUUUGUUGGGGACUAUGAAAUCCCGGCGAAGGAUAAAAGUGUUUGAGAUUUAGAUUUUUUCUGUUUCUGGGUUUUUUGUGAUUUUGCAGAUUCACGGUGGAGGUGAAAAAAUGAAGGAGAAUCGACACAACUUUUCAUAUCGAUUCCCACAGACGGCGCCAAAUGUUGAUGCACAAAACCGGAGGUCUUGGAACAACGUAAAUCCGACCGUGAAUCUGCAGAAAAUGUAAAUAACACAAGAUGUAUCGUGGUUCAUCCCAAUGUUUGGGCUAUGUCCACACUGAUAUUGUAUUUCUCUGAGAGGAUUAUGAGGGAGAGAGGGAGCUUCUCUAUGAGGAUGAGAGCUCUGAGAGGGUGAGGGUGUGGCCUAAGAAUUGGUCUCCCUUAAUGAGGAUAGUGAGGGGUCCUUUUAUAGAAUAAGGGCUCCUCACUUAUUACAUAUUUGCCCCUACCUUUAUUACAUAAUUACAUUUGAGUCCCCCGAGUAUUUAUACGAAAUCUAAAUACAGAGGCCCUAAAUAUGGUACAAACACCCUUAAUGAAUAGCAUUCCAGCAAUAAUUUCAUAACCAAUAACAAGUAAACACUUAUUGAAGCAAUUAGCCAAUUAAUAUCCAAUUGCAUUAAUCAACCAAAAAGAUCAAGAAUAUUAUAGCACUUCACGAAAUUUAAUAAAAUCAAUUUCCGUAAAGGUCUGCCGUAUUUCCCCUGCAUGGAUUCCAAAGCUAAAAUGAAGAUCAACGUCACUACCGGAAUAGCUAAGCUUCACGUACUUAUCCAUGUCACUACCGAAAUAGUUAAGUUCCAUGUACUUGAGGAAGCUCCCUGAUUGCUCCUAACACCAUAUAUUUAUUUUACUUUCUUUUAUUUUCUAAUCUCUCUCUAUAUGUAUGUGCGUAGGUAUACAUACAAGUACAUGCAUACAUAUAUAUCAUAUAGUAUGCAUACGAACAUAUCGUUAUAAAUAUAUAUAGACACUUAUAUAUAUACACACAUGAGCUGCAGAGCAUGCAUUGCAUGCUAGCUCUCCCUCGAAAACAAAUGGAGACGAUCUCCUAUUUAUACCAUAAAUAAGGCAGCAAACUAGUUGUUCUCAUUGGUUUAUAAGUUUCUCUACAAUCAACUCCACUUGCUAUUACACCAUUUCACGUUAGCUAUAGGCAUCAUUAGUCAUCAACAUAGCCUUCAAUAAUCAUCACCCUACAGUGCUUUCUAAGCACUCUAAAAACACCAAGUGAUAACACCUAAGCUACAGACUUUCCACCAAACAUGCUAAUAAUAGGAUUAGUGUCCUUAAGGUAGGCAGUAAACACCACGUGGCAAACUUAGCCACUCAAUGAAUGACAUUUGUUUACAAUUUCCUAGUUCAAUUGUAAAUUCUGAAAUCGUAGAGAGUUCGAAAUGUAUUUCAAAAAUGCCAUGAGCUCAUUAUAAUUCCUACUAUCUUCAUAUAAGAACCUUUUCGAUAAAUAAUUUCCAAAUAAUUCUCUUCUUUGGUAAUAAAUUAUUGGGAUCUCACAAUGAUAUUGUAAGGCCGCCACGUAAUGGAUACAAAUUUAAAGGAAAGAAACACACAUUGUACUCCAAAAGCUACAUCACUAAGCACGUUACAUUUCCAACAAGCAACUACAUAUAACUUCAUCAUGUACAUUUUUGGAUAUUUUUGGUAAUUAUAGGAAUGAUUACGGUAUGUUGGACGCCAAUCUGAAACGAUGAUAAAAAGAAAAUAAUUUGAACAAGAAUAGAGCGUAACAUCAACUUUUUUACAUUUCAUAUCAGUCACAUGAUGAGUAAAAUCUAAUAAACUUUUCACAGUAUAAAAUUUGAAUUCAAAAAGUCUCGAUACAAUUUAGAAAUAAAUGCCAUUUAAUAAUAUAACCUCACGAUCAUCUCUCAUAUGUGCACAUAAUUAGCGGAUGAACAAAGCUUGAAGCAUGAAAUAAUUAAAGCAACAAAGGUGGCUGAUGAAAAAUAUCUAAUUCUAUUCGGCUACGUAAGCACACAAGUCACACACUGUGUAAAAAUAAUUUUAUAAAAUUAAUUAGUUAAUUAACUGUCACAUUUUAGUUCCACUUAAGACAUACAUAUCAUAUCAUCACGUGCGGCAGCCCCAACUUGGAGUUUGGAAUAUUAUAUUUAUUAAAAUUAUUAUUGUCACUAGCGGUGGUGAAUUAAGGGAGUGUUUGAGAAGUGUUUUUUAAUGAUUGAAAAUGCUUUAAAAGUAAAUAUUUUUUGUUGCAAAAACACUAAAAGUACAUAAGUGAUUUUUUCAAGAAGCAUUAAUUUUGUGUUUCUUGCAGGAAGCACUUUAUAUGUUUUUUCAAAAUUAACUUGCAUUUGUAUUAAGAAUUGAUUUCAAAAAUAUUUUUCUAACAUCAUUUUAAGUUAGUUAAGCACUUCCAAACGAGCUCUAACUCAAUCCAAAAACAUUGAAUUCGUAUAUUUGAUAAUUGGACAAUAGUCAAAAAAAAAUUUAGUUGAUUUGUAAUAUGAAUAUUUUUAUUUUGUUGUUGUAAUUGCCGUGGAUUUCAUAUCCGUCAACGAUGAAAGGAGGCAUCGUUCAAUUAGUAUUAAUAAUUGUUUUCUAUUUACCCAUAGAAAAUGAUUAAAAAAUAACAAAUAAAUUUAAUCUCCAGAAAUGACGUUUUACUGUAGUAGUUAAAAUUAAUUAUGUCUAUGCACUAUGUGAAGAAUCGUUCUUAUUAAUUCUCAACGUCACUAACAAUUAACUAUUUAAUCCAUUAAGACUAUAAUUCUACCAAAAAAAUAAAUUUAAUUCCAAAAAAUAUAAUAUUUUUUAGAAAUUUACUAUUAUUAAAGGGAAUUGUUUUUAGCACUCCAAAAUUUUCAUUCUACACUCCUAACUUUUUAUAUUUAGAAAGAAAAAUACACUUGUGAGGAGUGUAAAAUAAGAUUUUUGGAGGGCUAAUAACACUUCCCUUAUUAAAAAAUGAGAAUAGCUCGAAACGAUUGUAAUAAUUUAAAGAUGAUGUGUUUCAAACUGAGAUAACCCAAGACUGUUCACAAGAAUAUUUGUACCACAUGCACAAUACGUUACGACAUCAAUUUUGUAAUGUUUGGCGCCUCGUAUUGACUCUCCCUCGUGGCGAACCAUUGAACCAACCCCUCAUCUAUAAGUAUCGUAAAUUCUUCACUCCUCUAUCCUCAUUGAAACUUUCGCGGCAGACAACGAGGGUAGACGGUGCGCACUCUAAGGAUCUCCAAUUUUCUUGCUCUCCAUACCUUCCAGUUUAACCAACUCCCCCACUUCUCUCUCUCUCUCUCUCUCUCUCUCUCUCUCUCUCUCUCUCUCUCUCUCUCUCUAACAUUUUCCCGACUUUUCUUUUCCUCUUUCCAUCGCUUUCUCUGCAUCCAAACAUGAACGCUACGGUAAUUACAACAACAACACUGCCUCAUUUCUCAUCCUCCCGCUCCGCCGCCGCCGAAUCAUCCUCAAACCGCCAAUUGCACAACCUUAUACCGGCCAAGUUGAAACUCGACAAACAAAACAACAGAUGUUCCUUAUCCAUAAAAUGCAGCCCCAGUCGAGGAAUUCGAAUCACGAGCGCGUUGGCCUUGACGGCGGCGGAGGCACCUCCGUCGAAGGCCACGGAGAUGGUGGCUGACAAGAUAAAACGGCUCGUUUUGGAAUUCAAGUCCCUGGCGGAGCCAAUCGACCGCGUGAAGCGGCUACUACACUACGCAGCGAGGCUCCCGCCGGACAAUGUGUCGGCGCGGGAGCCAGAGAGCCGAGUCCAGGGGUGCUCGACGCAGGUGUGGGUGGAGGCGGAGAUGGACGAGGCGGGGAGGAUUAGGUUCCGGGCGGACAGCGACUCGGAGAUCUCGAAGGGGUUCUGCUCGUGCCUGAUUUGGAUGCUCGACGGCGCAGAGGCGGGUGAGGUUCUGGCAGUGGAGACGCAUGAUUUGCAGGACGUGAAUGUGGGGGUGUACGGGAAGGUGAAUUCGAGAGUGAACACGUGGCACAACGUGCUGCUGGCGAUGCAGAGGAAGGCUCAGGCUUUGGUGACGGAGCGAAAGCAGGGGAUACGGGGGACUAAUCAGUAAUGAGGUAUAUAUAUUAUACAAGCAAUAAUGGCGAGAGAGGGUAAAUCAAACCGGUGAAAACAAUAAUCGAACUCGAGACAUCAGACGCUAGGUAACUGAGAUAUACGUCUAUCAAUAUUUUUGGUAACUUGUGAAUCAAGUUAGCAGAAAUUGAAGCACAUUAUUAUGUGUUAUUGAAAUAUAUUGCGUUGAAUCAAAUUUAUUGUGUUGUAUUAGAAUACAUACAGAGAGAAAUUAGAUAAUUUUAUCUCAUUUUUCUUCGAUGGUAUGUAACAUUAAGUAAUUCGAAAAAUAAAUAUUUAAAAAAUUUAAACAAUUGUGAAAAUUAGAUUUAACAGUUAAAACAUUUGUACCGUAAAAUCUAGGUAGCAAUGAACCUAUAUCGGACCCUAUUCAACCUUUCUUUUCUUCGGUCCUUCUUGCGAUGGCGAUGGAUUCCGGACGCUUAACUCGUUUAGCAAGGCGCAAUAAACAGUGAACAAUGCCCAAAAGUCUUCAAAACAAAUAGCCCUUUUCAUGCAAUACACGGACACCCAUCUAAUUUACAUGCGGUGGCAUUUAGAGCAAGUCAGGCAAAUAAUGGACCCAAAAAGUCAGGCAAAUAGUGGGCCCAAGCCUGCCCGACAGGCCCAUCAAGCAUUCUGACCCGACACAACUGGAUCCUCUCUGGAUCCAAAAUGAUCUGAGCCUACUGAGCAAUGUAUCCGGGCCAUUGAAAUUUGAUCAAACGGCUACAAUUAGUAUAACUUUAGAGGGGCCCCUGUUUGUAACCGUUGGAUCAAAUUUCAAUGGUCCGGAUGCAUUGCUCAGUUGGCUCAGAUCCGUUGGAUAGGGAGAGGAUCCAGUUCCUGUCCCGACCACUUCUCUGAGUGCCAUCUGAUGUCACAUGUGUCAGAUCAACAUAACGUCAGUCACAUUAUUAAUUUUUUUUUUUUUUUUACGUUAGGCGCGCGCACAAACACCCGAGUGGGUGGUGUGUUUUGGCAAACAAACAAGGUCAGUGGGGCCCAACUUGCAGUGCACUAAGCGCGGGUUGUAUAUAUGGGCGACAUGGCCCAUUUUCGAACGAUGAAUUUUCAAUGAAAAUUUGGACCAUUGGUUUUCCAAUGGUAAAGAAAGUUUUGAUUUCUAAUCCAGUGGCUAGUGCACGCGACGUGACGUGUACAAUUAGAUUUCUAACCGUCACAUAUUCCAACUGUACAUAUUAAAAGCGUAAAAUCUCAAAUUGGCCCAACCCAAGGUGUGGCGUUCUUGCCCAAGAUAUGCAGCCUGGCGGCACUGGUAGCAUAUAGGGGAUAUGCCCAAGAUAGUGUAAUGGGAGAUGAACCGACUAAGGCUAGCUUUCCACUUCCACUUGUAAUUGUAAAGCAAUUAAAUUCAACCGACUAAGGUUAGACAUACUAAAUUUAUAAAUUAAAUAAUGUGUUAUAAAUAAGAAAUAAGCAACUUAAAUCAUUUUUUUCCUUUUGUUUUUUGUUUUUUGCAUGUAGUCCAAUAUCUUAAUGGAUUUUCACCCAUGCAUUCCGGAUUCGAAACUCCUUAUCUCCUGAAUUAUGUAAUAUUAUUCUCAGGAAAAUUAUCAGGAAACAUACUAUGCAAUCUGCUUUCUUCCCAAAACCUAUAGUCAACUCAUAAAUUUACCAUCUAAUUUAACAAAUUUAUCCUUUGAAAAUAAUAAUAAUAAUAAUAAUAAUAAUAAUAAUGAAAAACUCUCAUUGAAUUUUUGAAGGGUUUUUUUUUAGAACUUUAACUAAAAGCUUAUAGAACUGUUUAUUUUAAAGAAAAUCUAUAUUUUUACACUAAAAAAAUUAAUCAUAGUACUAUUUACUUUACCCUUUAUUUUAUCUUUAUUGUUAAAAUUCAAAAUUUUCAAACAUUUUUUAUUAGUUUUUUUUUGUUCUUUUCUCCAGAAAAAGGUGCACUGUAAAGAGCAUCACAACCGUCAAACUACCAAGCACAAAACCCAACAAGUCACGCAAACACCCCAACGCUCCAACUUGCAUGAGGCCCACGACUUACUCGGGGCCCACAAAAUCAACGGUUCACAGUUCGACCUCCCGGGCCCACUUUGACAAUCAGACCGCCUCAGGAAAUCACCACGUAGCUGAUAUAGCUGGUGAGUUGUAUUUCCUACACACAAAAGCUCACGCGCCCACUCUCCUUGCUCUUCCCUCUUCUUCUCAUGUUCUCGGAGCUCCGGCUACAAUAACGGAGCCCCAGCUCGCAUCUCACCUUCUAGUUUCUUUUUAUUUUAUUUUCGCCUUCGUCCCGUUCCAUUUUUUUUUCAAAUUUUUCUGGUCAUUUUUCUCCCUUUCAUUUCGAACUGCGUUCACAGAUCUCGCAAACCGUCGAAGAUGGCCAAACCCUGGGGUACUGUCGGCAACUGGGCCGCCGAGGCUGAGCGAGAAGAGGCCGAGGAGCUCGCGGCGGCCGCCAAGGCCGAGUCCCAGAGCUUUCCCAGUCUAAAGGAAGCCGUCAGCGCCAAGCCCAAGAAGAAGAAGAUGAGCCUCUCUGAAUUCUACAACGCCUCCGGCACCCCCGCCUCUAAUCGUGUCGGCCUCACUCCCGACGAGAUGAUGCGCCUCCCUACCGGCCCCAAGGAGCGCUCUGCCGAAGAAAUGCAGUACGGUCGCCUCGGUGGCGGGUUUCCCUCCUACGGUCGCUCUGGUACGAAUCCGGGUCGGGGCGGGGACAGAGAGGGCGGGGACGGGUCGUGGGGUGGUGGAGGAAGAAGAUCCUACGGUGGAUUCGACGACGACAGGAGGGGCCCGCCUUCUAGGGUUUCUGAUUUAGAUCAACCGUCAAGGGCGGACGAGGUUGACAAUUGGGCAAUGACUAAAAAGUCUCUUCCUUCUGUAGAUUCCGGUAGGCAGAACCGGUAUAGCUCGCUCGGUAGUGUUGGUGCUGGGGGUGGGGGUGGUGAUGGUGUAGGUGGUGGUAUGGGCGGCCCAGCUUGGUCUAGGGCAGACGAGGUUGAUAACUGGGCUGUUGGAAAAAAGCCUACUCCUUCUAGGUCAUCCCCAUUUGGGUCUGAAUUUCAUUCGGGUCCGGAACCGGAUCGCUGGGUGAGAGGCGGACGCGAGGUCGACAGAGUUGAGAGAGAGCGACCCAAAUUGGUUUUGGAUCCUCCGAAAGCCGAGUCCGGCGUGAAUGAGCCAUCGCAGGUUGUGAAGACCAAUAAGCCGAACCCCUUCGGAGCAGCUCGACCUAGGGAGGAGAUUUUGGCUGAGAAAGGGUUGGAUUGGAAGAAGUUGGAGUCGGAAAUAGAAGCCAAGAAGACGAGUAGGCCGACGAGUGCCCACUCAAGCAGGCCUUCGAGUGCUCAGUCAAGCCGGUCUGAAGGGCCCGGGCUGCAUGCAAGUGAUAAUGUGGUGAAGCCGCGGCCGAAAGUAAACCCCUUUGGUGAUGCCAAGCCAAGGGAGGUUUUGCUGGAGGAGCGGGGUAAGGAUUGGCGGAAGAUUGAUCUCGAGCUGGAGCAUCAGGGUAUUGACAGGUUGGUUUUGCUUUGUAUUUUGUCGAUUUUGUAGGUAGUGCAUUCAGCUAAGUAAUGGUUUCAAUAUGUAUGGUAAUGGUUGGUUGAUUGUUUUUUUGCUAUUAAGAAUUGCCCAGUUGCUGAUGCUUAGAAUAUUAGUCAUGUAUAGUUUUAGGAGGAAAUUUAUCGGUCUACUUUCUUCAAGUGGAAUGGGGAACCUUUUAAUUCAUUAGUGCUUUGCUAACACUAAAAACAAAAUGCUAUGUCAUGAUUUGUCAUGAGGACUGUUCUAAGCAUGCCCCCGUGAGAUCCUGUAUUGAAAUUCGACUGUUCGCCAUUUUAAGCGAUAGUUUCUUUUUCCUUCAAGUAGCGCUUCGAACUCUUUUUUUAUUGCUCGACUUCAUUUGUUACUUGCAUUGCUUCUUCAUUUCUUCAUCUUAGUCCCUACUUACUUGCCAUAAGUUGUCUUACUAGUUAAUCAUCGGGAGAAUACUGCUGGAAUUAUUCCCAGCAACUACAAGUGUAUGCAAAGAAGCUAGAUGGGUUAGUGCCGUUUGUCACCUUUGGUUUAUGUUUCGAUUGAAAGGGGUCUAUAGAAAUGAGUAGACUAGUGUAUGGUUGAAACAAGGAGAUUAUGUUUGGGUUAGUGCCUCCUCUUGGGCACAUUCUUGUCUUAUUGUGUGUUUGUGGUGUGGGGGUGAAAAGAGUUUACGUAACUUUUUUCUUCCCCUCCCCGAUGAAGUAGAUAUUCAUUGCAUACAACUAGGCAGUCAGAGACAUUGCACAAGACCAUGUCUUUUUCUUUGCUGGAUGUUAUGCUGAAACAGCCUGGUGUCUUUUUCUUUGCUGAAUGAGUCUGAUCUAAUCACAAGAUACUAAUUUUGUUUGCUUUUAUAAAUAUUCAAACCUGAUUGCACCUACGUGGAAAUUAUUAGAAUUACAUUUUAAUUGGUUAAAUAUAUUAUUCACUGGAUUACCUUUUCCACUUGGCGGUAAUUUAGCAUUGCAAAAUGCAGUAGGCCAAUGAAACCUUAUCAAUAAACUCAAGUAGUUUGCCUUGUAAGCAGUAGGCAAACUGUUUAUUUUCAACUUUCUUGUCGUGGUUAUAUGUAACCCGUGGGUGUCCUGUUGAAUUGACCUCUUAAGCCUUUUGUUGCAGACCUGAAACAGAGGAGGAAAAGAUAUUGAAGGAAGAAAUAGAUCAUCUAAAGAAGGAACUCGAGAAAGAAUCUACGGAUAAAGUGAACAGUGAAACUGUGCAAGAGUCUGGUGGUGACCGGCCAAGUCUACGCGAUAUAAUACUACAGAAGGAAAGGGAAUUGGAGGCAUUGAUCCGAGAAUUUGAUGACAAAGUUCGCUUUGGGCAGAAGGCCAUCGAUAGGCCAGGGUCUGGGGCUGGUAGGCCUGGUUCUGGGGCAGGAAGGCCUGGGUCUUCAGCAGGGAGGGCUGGUAACUUUCAUGAGAGGACGCCGUCUUAUUCCGGGUCAUUUGAAGAUUCUAGAAGUGUGGAAUACGUAGAUAGGUCUCCCUUGCAAGGCAAGGGAGAUCCGUGGGCAAGGCCUUUUGAUGACAGAAGGUCAUUCCAUGGUGGCAGGGAAAGAGGAGGAUUUCUGGGGAGCAGAGACAUGGGCAGGUGAGAAUAAUGUGCUUCUGUGCUUUCCUGUUACAGUCUUAUGGAGGAAGUUAACCUGUUUAAGAAGUAACUUGAUCUGUUAUGCUUUUAGGAAAGAAAUUUUUUCAAUAUGCUAUUUAGUAGCCUGAUCCCGGAACUCUCAAAGAAUGCAUUGGGAAAAAAGUUGAUAAAUAGUUGUAAGAAAAAGUUUAAAAUUGGAUCAGAAACUUUCAAAGAAUGACCAUUUGAUUAUUAAAGAAUUGGGACAUCUCAAAAUAGCAUUUUAAAUGACUUAACAAUCCAUUCUCGACGAUUUACGCCUGUGUAGUCAGCAUAAUAUGUACUUUCAGAGCUAAAUGUUUGUCUAUGAAUCUAUGAAUGCCACAAAAUGCAUAUGACGUUUGGUGGUUGUUUAUUUGGCAGGGCAAGGUCAAGAGAAAGAUGGUGAACAACUGCGCCGUUUCUAUGGAUUCGUUGAAUUGCGCUUCUGACAAACAGGACCAAAUAAUAUUUUGCCUCACUCUUUUUGUUUUCUUCAUUUUGCUCUGGGAAAUGGAGCAAGCAUUAUUGAUUACCGGCACUUGGAAAACUCUUGCGUUGAAGAUCUACUGUUACAUCGUGACACUAUGUAAAAUUGCAGUUUUCCGUUUUCUUUGUUGUCUGUUUUUUUUUUUAUGUGAAGGAGCCUGUAUUGUUCUUAGGUUCCAAUUUUACUGAACACUACGGGACUCGCUAGUCUAUUUUUGUGACAAUCGUCUGGGAAUUAUACUGAUAUUUUGGUUCUUUUGUGCAUGACCUCGUUGCGGAACUCAAUUUUCUCAAUUUUUGUUGCGCGAUUGCUUGACUCUCUGAAUCCUACGGGAUAAACCAUCGAUCCAAAUUCCAUCCCAAGUUUCUCAUUGACUUUGGUUCUACCAAAAGGUGGUGGAGAGGGCCAUGGGGAGUGAAGAGUGGAGGCAGUGGCAAUUGGAGUGGUUGCCAAGUCCCAUCAAGGUUUUAACUUUGGCGAUUCUAAUUCCAACACGGAUGAUUUAUCAGCUACAUUUUUCAACUUCCUUCUCCCUACCGCAAUACAUUCUUUGGUAAGCCUUGAAGUCUUAUGGUCUCCGAUAUGGCUACGUUCAUUUCAUCAAUGGCUAGUGCUUCGGGCGUAACCUGUAAUUUCUUUGCGUAGAAAAUGGUUAACCAUGAAAACAGCUACAAUGUUGCAUCUUCGCAUGAACUUGUAAAUGUUCUUAAAGAGAUUACAAUCUUGAACAAAAUAGUGAUAUUGGUAGUCUUGCAGCAACUCUACCAACAAGGAGCAAGAGUUCAUUGGAUUCACAACACAGGUCCCCACGGCGGUCGGAGGAAAGCGAUUGUUAACGGCACUGAAGUUGAGAUGGGGUGGGGUGCACUAUUCCGAUGCUGCAAACAACUUGAUAGCCAACCAAAUUAUGGGCGGCUCUUUCUCCGACUCUCCAGUCUCAAUCGCUGAAGCAUGUCGCAAUCCUCCACGUUCUGAUUCAACUUCAAGCGGAUAACUUGUUCUAUAAGUUUGGUACGGCUUUAAUAUUGUACUUAAUCAUUGAAGUGAGAGUGUUUAAAUUAAGGAUCCAACCUUGUUUUGUUCUUGAAUAAAUUUAAACAACCGAUGUGGACACCCCUAACAAAUGAAAUCCAAUAAUAUUUGUGAUGAUAUCACAAUGCAUCUUUUAUUUCAUAAUAUUUGUUUCCAGAUUAUGCUACUUGCCUGCCCGUUGACCUUCAAAUCUAUAAGGCUAUUCUAUCGAUUUCACGAAGUACGAAGUUCUUAUGGACCGUGCGAGGUUUAUUUCUAUCGGCAGGUGGUGGAGAGGACCAUGGGGACUGAAGAAGAGUGUGGAAGCAGUGGCAGUUGGAGUUGUUUUAGUUGCUGCUCUUUCAACUUCCUUCGGCCUUGUACCACAGAAGAAAUCGCGCAGUGCUUGUCAAUUCCCGGCAAUGUAUAACUUUGGGGAUUCAAAUUCGGACACUGGUAGUUUCUCAGCGACAUUUUAUCGGCUUCCUUCUCCCUAUGGCUAUACCUUCUUUGGUAAACCUUCUGGCAGGUUCUCAGACGGGCGUAUCAUCAUCGAUUUUAUAGGUUAGAGCAUCAACUGUUGUCAUUACAUUGUCUUCAAAUUUAAGGCUACCUAUAGACUUUUAUUUGCCUUUCUUUUGCAGCUCAAAAGUUGGGGUUUCCAUUUUUAAGUGCUUAUCUGAAUUCUAUUGGAGCAAACUUCCGUUGUGGAGCGAAUUUCGCGAUUGUAGCAUCUACGAUUCAGCCACUAGAUGUCAGGACGUUUGGAGAUGGAUAUAGCCCCAUCUCUCUUAACGUACAGCUUUCGCAAUUUGCGCAGUUCAAAGCACGUGUAAAUGAGUUUUUCCCUCGAGGUAAGGAUAGACGUUUGCUGAAGACGUUUUACUGGAAUAAUAUUUGUUCAUUAUGCUGCUGUUGCACUGAAUGACGGAUUGGUCUUCAGAUGAAAGGUCAUACGUCAAGGCCGGCCUCCCAAGAGCAGAGGACUUCUCCAAGGCCUUGUACACUUUAGACAUUGGACAAAACGAUCUUAGUGCCGGGUUAAGCUGGAAGACGGCAGACCAGCUGCUGGAAAACGUUUCCAGCAUAACAGCGCAGUUAGCCUUGACAAUCGAGGUAACCAGUUUAGAUCUUCUUAUUCAUUUCAUGAACCACUAUUGUCGGGUUAACUUUAUUAACACGAAGUCAGAAACAAUCUGUCCAGAAUUUUUUUCCGUCAUAGUUGUCACAUGAAAUGCCUAAAAUCCCGAUGGCUCGAUAAACAGAUUGUUUAAUAUGUGCAGCAACUCUACCAACAAGGGGCAAGAGUUUUUUGGAUUCACAACACAGGUCCGCUCGGGUGCUUGCCUUCAACUCUGGCGUAUAAGAUGGCAGAACCCGGCGACCUGGAUCAAAACGGUUGCUUGAAGCGGUACAAUGAAGUGUGUCAAGAAUUUAACAGGCAGCUCAAGGAGAGAGUGCUUAAACUAAGAGCCAAACUUUCAGAAGCAGUUUUUACUUACAUCGAUGUCUAUGCAGCAAAAUACACACUAAUCAGUGAAGCGGAGAAGUAUGGUAAGUCUUUUCCCUCUUCAUGCAUUUAGCUAGGGUUUCUAUACUUCAUUUCUUCGGUGUAUCCAAAACUCUAAACCCUUUUUUCUCCGUUGUGUGGAAUGCGCAGGUUUUACGAGUCCUCUAGCUCAAUGCUGUGGAAGCUACGGAUGUCCCUGUCCGUUGUGGGGUGAAAGCUAUUGUUAAUGGCACUGAAGUUGGAGGUCCUUGUAGCAAUCCUUCUCAGCACAUUAACUGGGAUGGAGGACACUAUUCUGAUGCUGCGAACGAGUGGCUAGCCACCCGCAUUAUGGACGGCGCAUUCUCUGAUCCUCCGGUUUCAAUCACUGAAGCAUGUCACAAAACUCCACGGUUUUGAUUCAACUUCAAGUAUCCCAGUUGGGGUUGUAGCAUUGCUUCGAGCAUGUCAAAGAAUACUCAACAGAAAAAAGAAACAAACAAAAAGAAUCUCUAUCAAAUUUGAAGCAAUGACGAUAACACAUUUUCGGGGUUUAUUUUGUAGCAUGAACGCUGAUCGGAAUUUAAGGUCACCUUUAAAGAUCACCUCUGUAAAAAACAAGCAGAAAUAUCGUUCAAUUGACGUUGAUAAUAGUUUCUUGUAUUUAACUGAACAGAUCUGGGUACCUGAAAGAGGGAAAGGGCGAAAAAAAAUUGGAACUGUAAAAUAGAGAAAAAGGACGACUUCACUGGGGAUCGAACCCAGAAUCUCUGGUUUCGUAGACCAGCGCCUUAUCCAUUGGGCCAUGAAGUCCGGAUGUUGAUGUGUCUAGGAUUUAAUUAAUUUAACUAUAAAAGGGCCAAAAGUUGGAAGCAAACGAUUUAAGGGGCAUUAAGACAAUCAUUUUUAGGAUUCCUAAGAGUUAAUUUAUCCUUUAUGGGAUUUAAUGAUUCGAAAGAGAGAAUUCAUUCUUUUACAGUCAUUUGAUUUGGUAAUAGUAAUAAAGAUACUAACGAAUGGAAAGAAAUGAAUGGUUUGGAUCUGUACCAACGGCCAAUUUCCGUUAGAAUAGAAGGUUCCAUGGGAACAAUUAUUUUUUUCUAUUUUCAAGGUACUUCAUCUCAUUUUUUUUUUAUAAAAAAAAAAAGAGAAGAAAAAGAAGUGUGGGGAGAAAUGACAAGAAGAUAUUGGAACAUCAAUUUUGGAAGAGAUGAUGGAAGCAGGAGUUCAUUUUGGUCAUGGUACUUGGAAACGAAAUCCUAGAAUGACACCUUAUAUCUCUACAAAGCGUAAAGGCAUUCAUAUUAUAAAUCUUACUAGAACUGCUCGGUUUUUAGCAGAAGCUUGUGAUUUAGUUUUUGACGCAGCAAGUAGGGGAAAACAAUUUGUUUGUACCAUACUUGACCAAUCCCGAAACUACCGAGCACCGGCCAACGCUAUACUGUCAAGGACCCAGAAGAGUUCCCCUCCGACGCCGAGGCCAAUCACUACUCGACACGUGUCAGAGAUUAGAAGCCAAUCAGAGCGCAGCACGUGUCGACAUCAAGAACCAAUCACAACAUGACACAUGUCAAUGUGACAAAGCUACAAGUUUUUCUAUAAAUAGGGGUCAUUCCCCCACAAUAUUGCCUAAUGCCAUUUGUGUUAAAUCAUUCACAAGAACUCACUAAAUUGAGAGCUUGAUCCUUUGUACUUGUGUAAGCCCUUCACUACUAAUAAGAACUCCCUCUACUCCGUGGACGUAGCCAAUCUGGGUGAACCACGUACAUCCUGUGUUUGCUUCUCUGUCUCUAUUCAUUUUACGUAUUUAUCCUCACUAGUGACCGAAGCAACCAAGCGAAGGUCACAAAACCUGACACUUCUGUUUUGUACCAAAGUCUUCGCUGAUUUUGUGCAUCAACAUUUGGUGCCGUCUGUGGGAACGACACUUAUUCCUACUCUCUUCAGCUGUGUGUCAAGCUGGUUUUCUAUCAUUCGUACACUUUCUUUUGACCAUGCAUCCCUCUCCAACAAUGGGAAGCGAAGGAAGCCACAGCACACAGAAUGACACCCCCCUUGCACAUAGUGCGAAGCAACGAAAGAAGGAAGGAAAACGAGUUCUUCUUCAAGCUAAAGUCGAUGAGUUGGAAGCUCAGAAACAACAAAGAUAGCAAUGAGGAAUGAGGUUCUCCAGGAGCAAUAUGAGAAGCUCUUCGAGACACUCCACGAAGCUAGGCAAAGCUCAGACACGCGAGCUUGUUGCCCCCGUGGAAGUCAACCAUCAACUAGGUGCCCUCCAACAUGGAGGGUCACAUGCAUUCGACACAUAGAUAUCCCUGAUAUAGGGAACAGAUUACCCCUCGACUUGAUAAUCAACAUGAGGCUUCUCUUAACCCAGUUGCUUCGACCCGAACCAUGAGAAGUGGAGGGAGACACCUCUUUGCUGAAGGGCAGAAGGAUCGAAAGCCGUCUUUCGCGAUUGUCGGGAUUUCCUGAAGCAACGUCGAGAGAAUUCCAUCCAUAUAAGCUCAAAGAUCAAUGACCCAAGGAUUUCUGAGAGACUCGGUCCCCUGCCACGGCCCGAGCCGGCCACCAAUUUGGGGAAGGGGCAACAAGUCCUAAGAGAGACAUGAGGGUACAGGGGACUCAGAGGUGUGUUCCGACAGACAUACCCUGGAAGCCAGUACAGCGAGUCCAGGGAAAAUCAUACAUGCCCUUGAUCAAAACCUUCCUAAUUCCAAGAGGAGAUGGAGAUUUACGAAAGAAAGCUCCAGUGGCACAUAACUCCGCUCAGGACCCCCUUGUCCUACAACUUCUUGAGGAAG